AAUAUUCCAAAAUUUGGAGAAAUACAAAACUCAUAGGUCAACAAAAAUCCUUCUCCUAAACAUGAUAUCUAUUAUAAACCUUUUUUCCGGCAAAAAAAUAGUAGAAUCAUACAAUGGAUAUAUACAGAUGGUGAAUCCUAAUUAGCAUCUACAAAACAAACCUGUAGGAACACAACAGAGAUUUUUUAGAUCAACAAAUUGAGAAAAUGACUUGACACUCAAAAAGAAAGGCUAAGAAGCUUUGAGAUUUGAUGUUUUGUUAAUAGAGAUCCAUGAGGACAUAGAACAACAUAUUUAAAUAGUUAUUUUUCUAUGAAUAAUAAAAAAGAUUACAUGAGUAACAGCACACCAAUGCUUAUUUGAAUAAAGUGUCAUUCAUGGACAAAAACUAAAGAAACCAACUGGGACUAGGGGGCGAGGCCAUGAUAUUAUCAAUUACGUUACACUAGGCAGGCUAUAAUUACCAUUGAGAAUAGAAUGAUAUAUUCACUUCUCAGCAACUCCAAUAUCUGAUAGUAUCAUAUUACCCUACAGGCAUAAUACAAACAACGAAUGAAAUGUGAGUUGCAACAAUCAGGCAAUCAAAAUCACAUUUUGAACAAUAUAGGAACCCAACAUCUAAACAAAAUAGUAUCAACAAUAAACUACUAUUCCUUUCAUGAUACAAGGAAUUUUUGCCUCCAUAAAUUAGUAAUUACUUCAUACGGAGUAAAAUUUAAGGGUACAACAGACACCACCGCCUCAUAAUUCAAGAACCAAACCAUCAAGAAGGCUAUGUUGAAAUCUAAUCACCACAUCCAAAUAGGUAUUUCUCUGGUCUCAACAAGUGACACAAGGAAAUUUUUGUAUCUAGUGAAUACCUUUGCCUAAAUCUAGUACAAGGUUCUGUUUUUAUCUUGUAAACAUAUAUAUACAUCCAAACAUGUAUACACACACACACGUGUAUGCACUCUGAAGUUCCCUAGAAAUUAUAAGUAGGUUUUGUAGGUACAUGGCUAUGACCAAUUCUUGUCCUAGCUUGUAGUUCUAGGUUAGCCCAAGGGUGUACCUUUUCCAAAAUUUCUCUUUAUGAUGUUGCUUUAUCCUUCUAGGUAUAUAUUGUUAAUGGCCACAACCUCAGCAAUCUUUUUCAUGUUUCCAUGCAUGGAUCAGUUUAAAAAGGAAAAACACAUGAUUUCCAGAGUUUGAACUUCCAUUAUUUUACUAUAGGUACAAGGUUAACAUUUUUUGGUAUUCAUGCCCCAGUUUAGUCAUUUUCAUACUGACAUGUGUUAAUGGUGUUUCUUACAUGCUUAUUGAUGAAAUCCUCCCUUCCCAAGUCCACAAUUCAUUCUAAGUUUAUCAAAAGACAUCAAGGCAUCAUAGAAAAUCAACAAUUCUAAUAUUGUAACAUCUCCAACAUUUGUAGAAAACACAAGAUUCCAUAUUUAAUCUCUAGAUUGUAAAUUAAGGUUCAAAACUCAAAAGCACAUUCAUAUAGACACAAACCUCACUAGCCAUCAGCUUCCGGACAUUAUUAGCAUAUAAUUUUCCCAUACAUUACAAAUGAGCUUAAUUUGAGAGUUAUACCCUGGUAAUGAGAGAACCUGUUUUGGGCAACAAUUCAAAUCAUGACAAAAUUUUUUGGUCUCCAUCUCAUCCUUGUAGCAACAUGUACCUUACUCAUGUCAUUCCUCUUGUGUGGAGCUACCAUUAUCUUACCAAUAACAUGCAAAGUAGACAAUAAGAUUGAACAAUAAAUCAAAAUUCCUUAAGUUUAGAAUCUUAUACUGUAAGGAGAGUGGAACUAUGAGUGUCCAAGUGUGGUUGCUUGUCAAGAGUUGAAAAUUUGGAUGAUUAUUUGGAGGUUCUAUUCAAAUUCUUGGGCAGAAUGAUUAGAGAAUGAAAAAUGAUUAAGAAAUUUAGACAACAAUAGAGCAAGUAAGAAAAAUUCAGAUCUGAAAUGAAGUAUGAAAUAGACUAAGAAUGAUAAUUAGUUCAUUUGUAGCCCUUAUAAGAAGAUAACUAAGUCUCCAAGUGUAUUAUUACUUUCCUUGUUCAAAAUGGUACACAAGAACUUGUUUCCCCAAAACCAAAACACAAUCUUCUUAGGUGUAAGUGGAUUUUUCACAUUAAGCAUUUACCUGAUGGUUCUGUUGACAAGUACAAAGCUCAUCUUGUCACCAAAAGAUUUCAGCAAUGACCGGGCAUUGAUUAUCAUGAUGUUUUCAAUCCUGUUGUCAAACCCACCAUUAUACAUCUUGUUCUUAGUAUUACAAUCAGCCAUGCUUGGUUUCUCUACUAACUUGAUGUUAAUAAUGCUUUUCUUCAAGGCCACUUGUUUGAAGAUGUUUUCAUGGCUUAACCAUUGGGAUUCAUUAACUGUGAUCAUCCUAAUUAUGUGUGCAAACUUUAAAAAGCUAUCUAUGGUCUCAAGCAAGCACUACAUGCUUAGUAUCAUGAGCUCCACUAGUUUCUUCUCACCUCUAGCUUCACUAACUCUCAUACUUACACUUGACUAUUUGUCCUCAAUACUAGUGGUGUCAUGGUUUAUCUCCUUGUUUAUGUUGAUAAUGUUAACAUAACAAGUGACAAUGAUGGUGUCGUGUAAAAGUUCAUCCUAAUCUUGCCCAACAAUUCUCCCUUAAGGAUCUCGAGUCUCUUUCUUAUUUUCUUAGCAUUAAAGUCACACACCAUCGUCAUGGAUUAUUUCUUUCUCAACACCAAUAUAUUGGCGAUCUCUUAGCUCACACUCACUUGUCAAAUGCUAAACCAAGCGCCACACCACUUACUACAUCUCCAACACUUGAACUCUAUACUGGUACCGCCCUCUCUAAUCCAAUAGAGUAUCAGACUAUUAUUGGCAAUAUUGAGUAUAUUUCUCACUCGACCUUAAAUAGCUUUUACACUGAGUAAACCCUCACAAUUUAUGCAUCACCCUACUAGUGCUUAUUAAACUAUUGUCAAACGCCUUUUUUGGUACCUUUGUGGCACAUAUGAUCAUGGUUUGGUUCUUUAUCGCAACUCUCCUUCUCUUUUCAUGCUAAAGAUAAUUUUACUUCUAUAAGUGCUUACAUCGUUUACAUUGGUCGUAAUCCUAUCUCAUGGAGUUCUAAGAAGUAAAGAAUUGUUGCACACUCUUCUAUUAAAGCGGAAUAUCGUUUUGUUGCAUAUACAUCUACAGAAUUACGUUGGGUAUGUUCACUUCUUAUUGAACUUAGUGCUUAUGUUCUACAAGUGUCUAUGAUCUAUUGCAAUAAUGUUGAUACUACUCAUCUCAACUCCAAUACGAUCUUUCAUUCCUGCAUGAAACAUAUUGAAUUGGAUUAUCACUUUAUUCAUGAACAAGUUCAAAGUGAUGCUCUCUGUGUGGCUCAUGUUUACUCCAAAGAUCAGUUAGUUGAUGCGCUCACCAAGCCUCUUCCACAUGCAUGAUUUCUCACUCUUCAAGCCAAGAUUCAACGCUCCUCCUAGAGCCCCAUCUUGUGGAGGCAUAAUACAGAAACUAAAUAAUUUAAAUAUUAGUUUAUCCUUAAUUUAACUAUUAAUAUUUAUCUAUUAAUUAUUAGUUUGAAUUAGAGUAAAAUAUAAAGUUUGAAUUAGAGUAGAAGUGUACUAUUAGUUUGAAUUAGAGUAGAAGAUAGAAUUUGAAUUAUAGUAAAAUUGAAAUGUAUUUAUAUAUAAAUAUUCCACAUUAUCAAUGAGAAUGUAAGUGUGGACCCUCCAUUUUGGCUCAUGCGUUUCCCACUCGAUGGCGAACUCGAUUUAUUAUUUGAAAAAUGAUUUUUAUUGUUUUAGAAAAAUGACUUGGAGUCACCACUUAUUUUUGUUUUAUUUUGAAGGGUAUACAAAAUAAGAAAGAAAAACCUUAAGUGCGACUCCUUAUUUUGGAAAAGAUGGUCUGUGAAAAACCGGAUUGGGUUCGGGGGUCAGGUUACUAUUCGAGAAGGUACGGUAAAAACCGUAGCACCCCUCUAAGUCCCUAAAGUCGGGUCUCUACUAAUGAGAUGAAGCAAUAAUGACAAUGGAUGAGUAAAUCAAUGAAUACCUGGAAUAAAUCAUGCACACGUGGGUAUCAGAACAUGCAUAGACACUUAUCAAAGUGAAAGUGGAUACAUACCUGGGCAACGAGCCACCAUGCGCUAUCAAGAGAGAGAGUUAGUGCACAAUUAAGGAAUGAUAGCAUGCAUGUCAAUGUCAGGGAGCAGGAUAAAUCAAUCAUGUAUGAUAAUCAAAUCAAUCAAUCAGUCAAUCAAUUAUAAAAUUAUUUAUGUGGGGCCCCCACCAAUGCCCGAUUUAUUUUAGCAUGAAUUAAUUUCGUAAAUUCCAUUAAUUGGAAUUACAAAAUUAAAAUCUUGCUUAUUUUAAAACGUUUUAAAACAAAUGGGGAUGUAGAAAUUGUUUGCUAGAAGGAAAGAUGGCAACAAAGUUUUACUAAAAAUGGGACUCUUGGGUGAUCCUAAAAAUUCUAAGGAUGAAAUAUGGGGAAAUUGGAAUUAUUUGAAAACCUGAAAUCGAGAAAGUAUUACCAAAAUGAGGUAUAGGGAAACUGCUUUCAAAAUCAAGGGAUGAUGAACUGGGUCGAUAGCUCAUGGCAUAAGAAAAGGAAAAAAGUUGCAUGCCAAAGGUGGCCAUACAACUGGAAGCAUGCAGUGGUGAGCUUAGGGAGGAAUGAUGCUGGCAGAGAUGUGGGCUCCAUCUCUUGAAUCUGAUCUAUCAUCUUCUCUCAUUUGUCCAUGUCACUACCACUGUCACCAAACCAUAGGCCUUCUAAUCACGUGAUGACUCCACUGUAGACUGUUUGAUGCAUUCUCAUAUAAACUCUUAAACACCUUUUGAGCUACAGUCAAUGCAGCCUCGUCUCGGCACAUACAUUUGAGUAUUAUUUCGGGAAUCUGAGUGAUAAACCCCUAAAUUUCAGCAUCCUGAGUCCUUGGUUAGCAAAGCUUCCAACUCCUGUGCAGCAAUUUGGUACUUAUCUAAUGCAUCUCCAAUAUUCAACAAGGGUUUAGAGAUGCACUCCACAAAUGUUUUGUGGUAGAAGCAGCAGGCAAUGAUAGUGGAGUAGCUCCCAAUCCUUUUCCAACAUUAGAGGCCUCCACUGGAUGAACUUCAGGGGUAGGAGCCAUUGACGAAAAUGAAAUAGAGUUAAGUUUAGAGCCAUGAGGAGAAACACCAUCCAUCACUCCAAUGCGUACAAAAGGGCCACUGAGGAAUUGGGCAGAACUGGGAUCCAUAUCCUCAAGAAUUAGAUCCAAGAGCUAAGUAGCACUCGAUCCAGUGGCCCCGGUCCCAGUAGAGUAGAAGCCUAGGCUAAGCUGUCUUGAUGAUGAAGCAUAAGCGCGAGACAAACUAGAACUGCCAAGACCACCAAAUACAGCAUGUGAUCCAACAGGAACUGCAUUUGAGCUCUGUCCAGAUUGAUUUUGCCAGANNNNNNNNNNNNNNNNNNNNNNNNNNNNNNNNNNNNNNNNNNNNNNNNNNNNNNNNNNNNNNNNNNNNNNNNNNNNNNNNNNNNNNNNNNNNNNNNNNNNGGACAAAUGACCAUGUUUGGGGAGGAGGGNGUGGGUAUGAAGGUUAUAUAGGUUACAUAUGGUGGGUACAUGUGGAAAUGAGCAAGAGAUUAUGGUAUAAUAUGGGCUCGGUGAGUAUAUGGAAUAAGAAAUGGGUAUGGUUACUUAAUUGGGUAGGUAUGAGAGAUAUAGAUGGAUGAAGGUGAUGAGCAUGACGGCGGGAUAGGAUGAAGAAGAGUGUGAGAGGAGCGACGGAUGGCCAUGCGCGGGAGACGUUAAAUAGAGAACGAGUGGCGAGAGAGAGGGAGAGACACGGGUUAGUGUUCUUGCUCACAGGUGGCAUGGGUGAUGGGAGCAGGGUGUUUGGGAUGGGUAAGGUAAGUUGUAGAUGAGCCCAAGGCUGAGGGAAGUGGGUCGCUGCAGCAUUUGGAGAUGGUAGUAGCCAUCCCGUGCAUGAGUUUCUGGACUCGGAUAGGUAGCGCUCAUUGCUUGCAUCCUCUUUGGGAGAUGAUAGCGAUUUCAGGGCUGACGAGAUAUCAUUGGAAGCAUCAGGAGUCUCUUUCCAUGCUCCCAACAUCUGAUUCAUUAUAUCUUUGCAUUAUGAUUUCCACAGAAACCCCGACAUGUAACAGAAACAAGACGCAGAGGUAGAGAUCCUCAGAAAUGUAUGAGUCAAACAUAGCAGGCGUUCCAACAGCUUUCUUGUCCUGUGGGCCAUGGCAUGGCAACCUCUUCCUCAUCCACAUGCUUAUCUUGAUUAUUUAUUAUGAGUGUCAUUGAUGGCUCAGCAGAUAAGUGGCAGGUGCACCCUCUCUUGGCCAAAGGAACGCCAAUACAAAAUACGACUACGCUCGUCCAAAAGCCGGCGUGACUUUGGGUCAUAUGGGAUUUCCUUGUUGGUCUUGGAUCGGUUUCAUUGGAGGGUGCAACCAAGGGAAUCUGACCGGCGACUUUGACGGCCUGGUUAGAUUAGGACCGCUGGAUAUGGAAGUUGAGAGAUGCGUAGAGACCGACGGCAAAGGGAGGAUGAGAGGGUUUAGAAAGAAUGAGAAGGGCAAAUGUGGUGGUGAAGCAAGUUACUGGCAAUGGGUAUGGAGGAUGGGAAGGUGAUAGUGAGAGAAAAGAUAUGUAGGGGGUAUGAUCAAUGGGGUUUAGAAAAUGGUUGUGAAGAAAUGAUGCAGUGGGUAUGAGGAAGAAAUGAAAGUGUUAGAUUCGACAUUUCAGGUGGGCAUCUGGAUAUGGAAAUGGGGUACUGGCUCACGAUGCUAGAGGUUGGCUGUAUACCAGAGCAAGGAUUCCAAAUUGCCUCAAUGCUGCCAUUGUGCACGAAACCCAGCCGGGUAGCAAACACUGUAUACGUAUAUUUUCAAUGGUAGCUCACUGCAACAAUAAUAUCCCAAUGCCAAUUGACUCUCAUACAACGAUUUCGGCAUAUAUUAAACAAAUCCUGACGCCCGUUCUACAAUCCUUGGAACGACGUGUUACAGCAUGCCAAUGCGGACCCAAACUUCCAACAUGCAAGAGAAGUGGGAGAUCCUGGGGGAAUAAACUGGCUAGCGAAGUCCAUGGGUCAUACUGGACUUGCACUCAAUGCGAUUCAUUAACGGGGACUGUAAGACCAUGAAUCUUAUACACCCAAUACUUAUGGUAUCAAGUCGAGCCUGUCAUCCAUGGCGUUUCGACCCUGGCAGCUUAUUCAUAAAGCUUCACACUAUCUCAAACUUCCAGCGUUGCGUCAUUGUCAUUAUGCUUCCAAGAAACGGGAUAAAGUGCACGACUGCGCUAGAUCUCAUAUAUGGAAUCGUCCUUAAGCAUGACCCAUCAUCGAAACACCUUUCGAUUAUCCGAGAAAACUUGAUUAAUAUAUUCUGCGUUACCUUCAGCAACAUUGGCAAUCACAUUCCCUGUCUAGGAGGAUAACUGGUUGCUCUUCGUGGUGAGUUCGGUGCCGUUUAAGCUUCUCCAUCGCAUCAAAGGAUAGCCAGCCAAAAGGGAAAUGAUACCAUAGAUGAUGAAGGAGUGGCACAGACAGAUGAAGCAGUCAAGAGGUAUCCUUAGAAGUCCUCUGCGGAUGACAUUUUAAGGGCUUUGUGAUACUCUGAAGCAUAGGUACUCAGUUAUGACCUCCAAUCCUGAUAUAGAACACUCAAAACAGGCUCAAUCUACUCAACAUGCUCUUCGGGCACUCCAUAGAAACUAAGCACCUGUAAUCGCAGUUCCCGCUCCUUGGAUUUGCAUUCUCAGAUUGGAGAUGCACCAGUCAAAACACGUCGCGAACAGACACCAAAACAGAGAAAAAAUAUAGAGGAAAAUUGAUAGAACCAAACAAAGAUGGGUGAGAUGGGAGUUGGUUAAGCAAGACCUGGUCUCAUAAUUCAUCCACAGGCUUACCAACUAGUGGGGGAAGAAAUGGAUUUAAAGAGAAAUGAUAAGAAGAAGACCUUGAGAUACCACGCGGAUAAAACUGGUCCAGAUUCACAUCAUUUCUCUCAAAAUGAACCCAGAAAAAAAAAUAUGAACAUGUAGUCAUAGCGAAUCCAAUGAAAACAUAGAAAUCAACAAGAGCAACCACAUGAUAUCCACACGCAAACUGCUAAAUAACACCCAGCUAGGAACAGGGGGGAGCAAAUAACAGAAGAAUAAUGGAGAUAAAUGAGUAGCAUACCUGGAAAAUGCUCUUUCGAGGUUCUAUCCUCUAAACUAUCAGAAAAAAACCUUAUCUACUCCUCCGUAGGUACAACAUCCGCUUCCCCCUCAACGAAACUUGCCCCUCAAGCUCUCUCCCUCUCUCUCUCAAGUCGCUCUCUAUUCUUUUCCUCACUCCCUGAAAAGAUACAAUGCUUCAGAAAACUCUCUCAAAAGCUCUUGGAGUCCUCCCCCCCCUUCUCACCGUUCUUCCAAAAACCAGCCAAAAGCCCUCUUGAAAAGAUCUUACUCUCCUCUCAAUAACUCUCCAGAAUGGCCGCCCAAAAGCACCUCCUCUAGCUCCCUCUCCUAGCUCCCGAAAACUCCCCCCUCCUAAUCACAGCCCAGCCUCCCCAAAAAGCCAUCUGCUCUCUGCCAACCUCGUCUUUUCUUUCUCUACCAGAUUUGCCCCUCUAACAAUAUCUCCAGAAAGAAACAGCUACCUCCAAGCACCACUACUCUGCAGUCUCCCCUUUCUCUCUCAUACGCGUCUCAUAACGGCCUGCAGAAUCCCCUUCCAGCAUGACGGCUUGUAGCUUCCUUUUCAGAAUCUUCUUUACAGAUGUCGUAUCCUUAUUGGUCCUCUAAGCUACUAGCCUGAUUCCCUAGCAGCCAUCCACGAGUCGACAAGUGGCUCAUUGAGGGGCCUCCAUCUGGUAAGAAAGUGACCUACAGAAACGCUAAAAAGUGAGGCCCCAAAAUGGGGGUCUACAGUAAGGCAAUAAUUUCCAAAAUUCUCUUUAAUUAAUUAAAAAAAAUCAUUAGAAUUGAUGAUUUUUUAUCUUAACUUUACUAUACGACAAGAGUUUAAACAUUUCUAAUUCAAAUUUGAUGAUUUAAAUAUUGUUAUUUCCAUUUUCAAUGAAGGAUUGAAUUAAUAUAAUUUAUGGAAUUUUAGUUUGUUAAGAAUUGGAUAGAUUAUGAGGGAAAAAUAAUGAGGUAUGCAAUAGAAGAAUUAUGGUUUCAAUUUUGAAAAUUUUUGGAUUGAUUUUAGAUUAAUUUCUUAUUCAAAUUAAAUUAUUUGUAUAUUGUCUUGUUUUAUUCUUAAGUAAUAAUCCAUCAAAAAUAAAUAAAUAUCUAAAUUUUCUUAAGAAAUUGAAAAAAAAAAAAAAAAAAAGAUGAAAAGAGAACCUAUUUGAAUCAUAUGAUUCAUAUUAUUUUUUCUUAAUAACAUAUUUACUAAAUUACAUAAAGUUAUCCAUAAUUUUCAAAAAUAGAUUUAAUUUUGUUAUAAGUUAUCAACAACUAUCUUUUUGUCAAAAACAAUUACCAAAUAUGGUUCUAAGUGUGAAAAUUUGUUUUCAAAAACAACCCUCAAGCAAAUUCUUAGGUCCAUUUGGCUAUGUUUUUUAAAACUUGUUUUUAAAAUAGCAAACAAAAACAGUUUUUUUAAAAAAUUUUAAAAAGCAAGAGCAUUUGGCAAAUGCAUUUCAUAAAAAAACUUGUUUGAAUGAAAGAAUUUGUAUUGUUUUUAAAGACAAUGUCUUACUUUUGUUGUAUAAGAAUUUUAUAAAUUUAGUUUAUAUUAAUGUAAAAUCAAAUUCAAGUUAAGUUUCAUUUAAAAAAAUAAAAAAUAAAUUUACAACUAUAUAUAAGUUAAAGAUAAAUAAUUUUUUUAAUUAUGAAAUAAUUUUUUUAUUCUAGUGAAACAAAAAUUACUAUUUUAGUAUUUAUUUUUAAUACAAAUCAAAUAUGUCCUUUAAUUUAUUUUUUUUCCAUUUGGCCAUGAUUUUUAAAAAUUGUUUUUUAAGUUAAAGAACAUAAAACAAUUUUUUAAUGUUUUAUAAAAAUAAGGUAUUUGUCAAGUUGUUUAUAAAAAAAAUACUUUAAAAAUAAAAAUAAAACCAAUUUGUUUGGAUAAGCUGUUUUUAAAAAUAAAUUUUCUAUUUUGAUUUUAUAAAAAUAUUAUAAAUUCAAUUUAUAUAACAUUAAUUAAAUUUAAUUGAAGUCUUAUUGAAAAUGAAAAUAAUUUUGUAUCACAAAGAAAUUCAAAAGAAAUAUUUUUUAGUAAAACAUGAAUAGUAUAUAUUAUAAUAAAAUCAUCAAUUAUAUUUUUAAUAAAAAAUAUACUAUUUUAUUAUAUGUUAGAAACAUAAGAAUAUUAACAUAUUUUUGUAAAAAAAAAUUUGCCGUAAAAAUAAAUAAUAAUAAUUUAAAAAUAAUAAUUGUCAAUAGUAUUUUAUUUAAAAAUGAAUAAUGAAUAAAGUUUAACUUUUUAACAUGUAAAUGAGUCAAGUUUUAUUACUUGCAUACAUUUAGUACUCAAUUUCUACAAUUAAUUGGAUCAAUUUUUUUUAUUGCAAAUUAUUCUUAAAAGUUAAAGGAUUUGUUAAAAAAAUUAAAUUAUUAAUUAUGUUUUACUUAAUUUAUAAUUUAUUUAUCUAGUAAAAUUUUUUUUUAAAUAGUUGUAUGUAUAAAAGAAAUAUUAAAGUCAUGACUCAUUAUACAUCAAUUUUAUUCUUCUUCUUCUUCUUUUUUUUUUUUUUUUUUUGCUUUGAUGACUAAAUGAUCUAUUUUUGAGUUCCAAAUUAUUUUAAAAAAACUUGAAAUUCACUAAUAAAUUCAAUAAAAACUAUCACUUGAUUUGAAGUUUAUUUUUCUAGUGGAAAAAUUUAUAAAAAUAUAGUUAUGUGUAGAAAAGAAAUAAUAGAGUCAUUAUAAACCAAUUUUUAUCCAUGAAAUUAUGGUAUUAAUAAGAAUAUUGUUUGAGUUUUAAAGUAUUGUUAAUAAAUCCAACCUAUUAAAUUUUAUUUAAUUUGAAGUUCAUUUACUUAGUGAAAAAAAAAAACUUAACAUAAUGAUUCUAUAUAAUAGAGAAAUAUUAAAGUUGUUCUAAAUUAAUUUUUAUUCAUAAUAGAAGAGAAAUAUUAGAGUUGUUAUAAAUUAAUUUUUAUUCAUAACAUUCUAAUAUUAAUUGGGUCACUAUUUAAGUUUUAAAUUAUUUUUAAAAUUUUCUAAAUUCAUUAAUGAAUUUAACACAUUAAGUGUUGUUUAAUUUGGAAUUCAUUUAUCUAAUGAAAAAAAUCAAGAAUAAUAAUUCUAUAUAAAAGAAAAAUAAUAGUUAUUUUAAACUUAUUUUAUUCGUAAAUUUUUUAUAUUAAUUGAAUCAGUAUUUAAGUUUUAAGUUGUAUUAUAUAGUUACUAUCUAUUUCACUUUAUUUUUAAAAAUUAAAAAUAGAAAAACAAUAUCACUCGUCAAUCUUAUUUUCUUAUAAAUUACCAUAAAUUUGAAUUUUUGGGGCUUGACAUGGUAAGUAGAAGAAGCCAACCAAAAUUAAAUUUGAAACCCCUCCUAAAAUAUUAAUCCAACAAUACUCAAAAAUCAUUUUUGGUCAGCUCUCCCUCUUUUAUGAGCUUGAAGCCUUCCACAACAUCAUUUCUCUCAAACUAGCCGUUGGGGAAGGCCGUGGUAACUCUCUCUCUUCCCUCUCCCGCCCAACCCCUCCUUCCACCUUCUUUCAAAACCCCAAGCCCUCCCCGCCAAAACAUUAUCCCCAACCCGCAUUCUCACAAAAACCCCAACUUCGAGCCCCUCAAGAACCGUCGGAUCCGCCAACUCGACGUGGGCCGCCUCAACCAUGCACUCUCCUCCCUUGAUCUCAUGACCCUGCAAAACGCCCCACCAGACCUCACCACCUACUCCAUCCUCCUCAAGUCCUGCAUCCGAUUCCGCAACUUCCAACUCCGGAAACUCGUCCACCGGAAGCUAAUUCAGUCUGGACUUGAGCUCGACUCGGUUGUGUUGAACACUCUGAUCGGCUUGUACUCCAAAUGUGGCGACACCGCAAUCGCUAGGUUGAUUUUUGAGGGAAUGGAAAAUAAGAGAGACUUGGUUUCAUGGAGUGCGAUGGUCUCAUGUUUUGCGAUUAACAGCAUGGAGUUGCAAGCAAUUUGGACAUUUUUUUAUUUUCUCGAAUUGGGUUUUUACCCAAAUGAGUAUUGCUUUGUGGCCGUGAUUCGGGCUUGUUCAAUGAGUUGGGGAGAUAAUUUAUGGGUUUGUGGUGAAAACCGGGUAUUUUGAGGCUGAUGUGUGUGUUGGGUGUGAAUUGAUUGAUGUGUUCGUGAAGGGUAGUGGUGACUUGGGCUCAGGUUAUAAGGUGUUCGAGAAAAUGCCAGAGAGAAAUUUGGGUACUUGGACUUUGAUGACAACUAGAUUUGCGCAAUUGGGUUGUGCCAGAGAUGCAAUUGAAUUGUUUUUGCAUAUGGAAUUGAGUGGUCAUGCACUGGAUCGGUUUACAUAUGGUAGUGUCCUUUCUGCUAGUACAGAGUCAGGAUUGUUAGCACUAGGGAAGCAAUUGCAUUCCCAAGUUAUACGUUUGGGAUUGGCUUCAGAUGUUUGUGUUGGUUGUAGCUUGGUGGACAUGUAUGCAAAGCGUACAGCAGAUGGGUCCGUGGAUGAUUUGAGGAAGGUAUUUGAUCGGAUGCCUGAGCAUAAUGUUAUGUCUUGGACCGCAAUUAUCACAGCAUAUGUGCAAAUUGGAGAGUGUGAUAAGGAAGUUAUUGAACUUUUCUGCAAGAUGAUAUCUGGCCGUGUACAGCCUAAUCAUUUCUCAUUUUCAAGUGUUCUCAAGGCAUGUGGAAACCUUUCUGAUCCUUAUAAACAUGCUUUAAGGGAAAUGGAGAAAUUUAUUAGAUAAUUCAAGGUGAAUACAGAAGACUACCCUCGGUCCAAGGGUGCCAAGGAACUGCCUCUGGCUAAAACAUUACCUUGGUACAUAUAUGGAUCUUACAGGAGCACUAACCCUUGCAUCUAAACCAAUCAACCACAAAGUAUUACAGGACAGAGAAUGAGAGUAGCUAUUGCGAGGCACUACCUUCCCUCCAAGCUGAUCGUCAUUGUCGCAUUUCGUGAAGAAAUUGGUACCCCAACUGGAUUGUUCAUAUGAUCCUCAACUGACAUCUCCCUGGAGUAUAGAGUAGGCCUGGGGGGCAUUUGCAGGAGUUCAACUUCACCUUCUAGCAUCUCCAAUGCCUUGCUCAUUGAAGGGCGAUCCGUGGGAUUCAUCUGUACACACCAUAAUGCAACUAUGACUAUCUUCCUUAUAUACUUGUGUUCGUCCUCAGUGGCAUCUCCAAUUUCCAUGUCUUCUCCUUGAUCUAUUCGAUCAUAAAUCCAUGACGGGAAGUAUGUUUGGCUUUGCUCUAGACAUGUAUUUGCAUGCUUCCUUUUUCCCACCAUUUCCAUUAAUAACAUUCCAAAACUAUACACAUCAGCUUUAUAUGAAACACCUCCAAUGUUCUUGUAGAAUAAUUCUGGAGCAAUAUAUCCUAAUGUUCCUCGAGCAGCAGUUAGAGACACAAUGCUUUCUUCUAUUGAAUGUAAUUUUGCAAGGCCAAAAUCAGAAACUUUUGGGAUAAAGUUUGCAUCAAGAAGAAUGUUGUGUGGCUUGAUAUCAAAAUGCAGAAUUUGCAUGUCACAACCUUGAUGUAAGUAUUCAAUCCCACGACCCACACCAAGUGCAAUCUUAUAUAAUCUUUCCCAACUCAAAAGAAUGUUGUUUUCAAGUUUAGAAAAAAGAAACUUAUCAAGGGACCCAUUAGGCAUAUAUUCAUAUACCAGAGCCCAUUUUAAUCCUUCUGCACAAAAUCCAACAAGUCGCACUAUAUUAACAUGGUGAAUCCUUCCAAUGGUGGCUACUUCAUUGAUAAAAUCUUGUCCAUUAGCUUUAUGCAUAACCAAAACUUUUACCGCUACAAUUUGACCGCUUUGAAGUUUUCCUUUAUAUACAAAGCCAAAGCCUCCUUGUCCUAAUUUAUUACUAAAUUUGUUAGUCAUCUUCUUUAUAUCUGAAUAUGAGUACUUGACUAGCUGAAGAUUUUUAUGGCUCUGUAAAAAUUCUUCAACAUCAUCAUCGAACGAUAAAUGUCUUCGUCGAAACUUGUAGACUAAAUAGGCAAAUAGGCACAAUAUCCCCGGCACAAAUCUUCCUAUGACUGAAUAUAAAUCAAAAGUGAAAUGAAUAAAGGUUUUAGAAAAAGGAAUACGAUCAUUGUAAAUACUUUUCAUGAAUUUUCAUAUGAAAUUCUCAUUAUAUUAUUCUUCCACAAAAUUGAUAGUAGGAAUUUGAAAGUCUUACCGAUAAUUCGCAAUAUCCAUGCUCCUAAUAAGAAAGGAAUAUAAAUUGGAUCAAAAAAAAUGUGGACCGACAUAAGUGAGCGACAUAAACACAAUUAAAAAACAGACAGAUUUGAGUGAAGAGAGCCUUACCAAUCAUGCUGAUGUUGCAAUAAUAGUUGUAAGCGCAAUAAUUGCCAAGUUCUUCUUUCAAUGCUGUACAUGUAUUAAAGAAAUUUUAGUCAUCAUAAAUCUUGGAAGGAAGAAAAUUUGAAGAGUUUACUCUAUCCUAGUUAUUAACUGAACUAGGAUUGGAGGAUGUAGUUAUUCUUAAAAGAAAUUAACAGUUGAAAUUUGUAAUUUUAAUUACCUUUAAAUGGAAGAGUAGUCGGAUUGAGUAGAAAACCUGUUAACAGGAAAGGACAUGAAUAGUAUUUCUUAAAAGUAAAUGAAAUGAUAAGCAAGCACUUGGACAUUACAUGCAGGUAUUCUAGAAAAUUAACUAAUAAAAAUCAUCUUACAAAGCUUCAUGUGGUCUUCCCCAUCCAUUUUUGAAGAAAAAUCCUAGUAGAAGAGGUUAUUAAACAUUUGUGCAUGGCAUAGGGUUCACACUCCCAAAAAAAAAAAAAAAUUGGUUUUAAGUGCUAAAUUGUGAUAAAUUAAAAGUGAAAGUAGUAGUUUUUGUAAUUUAUAUUAAAAAAAUUAAACAAAAUGGUGGUUUUAAUUGCAACUUGUUUUCAUCUUUCAGACGAUUUGUUUUUUUAUUUUAUAUUAACUUAUUACUUAUUUCUUAAAUUUUUUUACUAAAUAAAAAAAUAUCAAAAUAUUUAACAUUUUAUGAAUGUUAAAAAUAACAUGUACUCAUAAAACAAAUGUCAUUUAUUUUUUUAUUUUUUAAUACUUAAUAAAAAUAAAAUAUUAAAAAAUAAAUAAUUUAAUACUUAACACUAUUAAAUACUAUUUAAUCUUAAGUUUUAUUUUGAAUUAAGUCAAAAAAACAAACACCACAUAAAAAAAAUAUAUAUGAUAACAGAAAUUCCCAAAGUCUUACCAAAAAAAGGAUACAAAUACUUCUUAAACCCUGCAUGAAUAAACCAAAAGAGUCAAAUUAAUUGAGUUCAGGACCUAUGAAAUGAAGUACAACAUAAUUGGAUUUUCAAGUGAUUUUUUCCAAAAAUAUCUAUUUGAUGAUGAAAGAAAGAAUUAAAGUGUAUUUGACAAUGAUUUUAAGAAGUUUUUUACUUGAAAAUAAAAUUUUCAAAGUAUUAGAAAAGUUGAAGAGGCUUUCUAAAAUUGUUAAAAGGACUCUUAAUAGAGAACUCAAAUUGGAAUUAAAGCUCUCAUCGUAUAAAUUCAUACUCACAGUUUGUGUCCGAGCACCAAGUGCCCCAGUAGAGGCAUUUCCCUGAUCUGUAGCAUCGUAUGGAAUUAUUAUUGAAGUCUACAUCGCAGGCUAGCCCUUUCACACUGCAUUCUGUAAUGCAGAGGCGAUGCAAAAAUGAAAGCUCCAUCCCCAUAAGUAGCUUUUCUUGCAAAUCUGAGAUUGAAUAACUGCUGAGUUCUGAUUGAGCAACAAAAGUCAAGGCGAUGGUGCAUGAUUCCCGAAUAAGUCCCGCCUCCAGAGACUUUCCUGCUAGCACAUAAGCAUAUGUCCGUGAGGAAGAGGAAAUGUUGUCUUCGGAUCUGUUGCAAAGAAUAAUGGGAAUGUAGUUUUGAUCACUGAUUGGCCUUUCACAGCUCAACAAAACUAUUGUAUUGUGUUCCCAUUCAUCAGGGCAAUAAUAUGGAUCUUUAUAAUCUGGAUAUGGAUCGAAAUUAUGUAGCAUAUUCGAGAAGGACCAACAGGACGGCAUGGAGAAGGAGGAAUAGAGAGGAGUGGAGAAACAGUCUCCCUUCUUUUGGCCAGGAUCCAGCAUCCGAAUGGUAUAGUUGUGGUAGUUGAUCUCAGCCACAAAGUAUUUCUUACCGCCCUGCUUGAACACGGUCAGAUUGUUCUCACAAAUCAAUUCAUACUUUGGGUCACCACAGCCUGACGGGUCACCUUGCAAUCGGAAAGGGUAGGUGAUGUUCCGAAUACCUCCGCAUGAAGAUGGCUUGCAUGUCUGGUGCUGCUGUUGAUCAUUAGCAACACAAAUAGAAAGGAAGCAGGCGCAGAGUAGUGUUAGCAGGCCUAUUUCCAAAACUUGCGCCUCCCUCAACAUCAUCGACUUUGAAAGAGAGAUGCUGUAUUUUGGGGUUGUAAGUUUCGUUGAGAGUUAUUAAAGUUACGAGGGAUUCUGUGUUUGGGGUUGUAAGUUUCUAUGUUUUUGGGUUGCAAGAAAAGUCUAGUCUUCUUUCUGACCAAAAAUCAUCAUUUUUAUUUACAGAUGUUGUUGGGUUGCAAGAAAAGUCUAAUCUUCUUUCAGACCAAAAAUCAUCAUUUUAUUUUAUAACUUGUAUGGAUGUUUUUGGGUUGCUAGAAAAGUCUAGUCUUUCUUUCGAUGAAAAAUCAUCAUUUUUAUUUUAUAACUUGUAUGAAUGUUUUUGGGUUUCUUGAAAAGUCUAGUCUUCCUUCCGAUGAAAAAUCAUCAUGUUUAUUUUAUAACUUGUAUGAAUGUUUUAGGGUUGCUAGAAAAGCCUAGUCUUCCUUCCGAUGAAAAAUCAUCAUUUUUAUUUUAUAACUUGUAUGGAUGUUUUUGGGUUGCUAGAAAAGUCAAGUCUUCUUUCAAACCAAAAAUCAUCAUUUUUAUUUUAUAACUUGUAUGGAUGUUUUUGGGUUGCUAGAAAAGUCUAGUCUUCCUUCCAAUGAAAAAUCAUCAUUUUUAUUUUAUAACUUGUAUAAAUGUUUUUGGGUUGCUAGACAAGUUUAGUCUUCCUUCCGAUGAAAAAUCAUCAUUUUUAUUUUAUAACUUGUAUGAAUGUUUUUGGGUUUCUAGAAAAGUCUAGUCUUCCUUCUGAUGAAAAAUCAUCAUUUUUAUUUUAUAACUUGUAUAACUUGUAUGGAUGUUUUUGGGUUGCUAGAAAAGUCUAGUCUUCCUUCGGAUAAAAAAUCAUCAUUUUUAUUUUAUAACUUGUAUGAAUGUUUUUGGGUUGCUAGAAAAGUCUAGUCUUCCUUUCGAUGAAAAAUUAUCAUUUUUAUUUUAUAACUUGUAUGGAUGUUUUUGGGCUAGAAAAGUCUAGUCUUCUUUCAUACCAAAAAUCAUCAUUUUUAUUUUAUAACUUAUAUGGAUGUUUUUGGGUUGCUAGAAAAGUCUAGUUUUCCUUCGGAUGAAAAAUCAUCAUUUUUAUUUUAUAACUUGUAUGGAUGUUUUUAGGUUGCUAGAAAAGUCUAGUCUUCCUUCCAAUGAAAAAUCAUCAUUUUUAUUUUAUAACUUGUAUUGAUGUUUUUGGUUUGCAAGAAAAGUCUAGUCUUCUUUCAGACCAAAAAUCAUCAUUUUUAUUUUAUAACUUGUAUAACUUGUAUGAAUGUUUUUGGGUUGCUAGAAAAGUCUAGUCUUUCUUCGAUGAAAAAUCAUCAUUUUUAUUUUAUAACUUGUAUGAAUGUUUUUGGGUUGCUAGAAAAGUCUAGUCUUCCCUCCGAUGAAAAAUCAUCAUUUUUAUUUUAUAACUUGUAUGGAUAUAUAGGUCGAACACUAAUACUUGAAUACAUUAAUUAAUUAAUUACUCCAUAAUCCUUCCCAUAAAAGUCUUGGAAAAAUUUAGUAUUAUAUUUUUCAUGGAACAUGAUCCCUUGAUUAAAGUGGCUGGUCAAUGGUACCUUAAUUUAUUAGAGUCAAAUAAAGCAGCUGGUCAUUCACCUAUUAGAAAAUUUAGCUAAUCUAAUCUAAUAGAUGAUAGGGUUAAGGAAUUGCAUAUAAAUAUUUGGAGUCAUUCAUAGAGUUUUCAUUAGUCACAUUGCAACCAUUUUCAACUUUUAGGCAUAGAAAAAUCUAGUCUUCUUUUUAGAUUCCGUCUCACAAAUUUGGAAAAACCCACUACUUGACCUUUUUUCUUGGAAAAAGAGCUAGAUAAUCCUUUCAAUAAAUGUUGUUGAAAAAUUUUAGUACUUAUUCCAUUGAAGAUGAGGUUCUUAGGCUUGAUUUGCUUUCUUGUCAAUCCUUCUCAUAGUCGCCUUAGAAGAAACUUACUACUUGAUUUUGAUAGCAGCCAGUCCAUCUUUUUUUGUCAAACGCAGCUGCUUUGAAACCAACAAAAUUGUUUCUGACUUGAUUGCAAAAACUAUAGGGAUCGAUCCACGAGCAGUUGGUUAAAAAUGGUCGUGACUUUAUUCCUCUUCUUUUUUAUGAGAUUGUUUGCAGAAAUUGGAGGGAGGCAAGAUGGGUGCAAGGAGUCGAGGUGCAGUGCCCAUGGCCCAGUCAUCCGAUUUCCUUUCCGGCUAAAACACCAGCCAAACCAGUGUCACUACUACAAAAAUAAUAUAUGAUGUCACUAUUUAUGGUGUCGCAUUUAAAAUAAUGACACCAUUGAACUUAAAAUUUAUAAAGGUGACACAUCAUAUAAAAAAUCUUCAAUUAGGAUAGUUAGAUGAUGCUAAUUUCAGAUUUACGGUGUCAUUUUUUGGAAGUGACACCAUAUGAAAUAAAAAGUUUUAAAUUUUAUUACUUAAUGGGCCCUUUUUAAAAAUAGUGAGUAGGAACAAUUUAUGAAAAGUUCAUUGUUUCCAUAUAUACAUUAACUAAUAUAAAAGAUCUUAUUACUUAACCCUAACCAUCGUUUUCUUCUCCUUCUUCUCACACCCAUGGUCGGCACACCCAUAAUUGAUAUUCUUUGCUUCGUAAAAUCUCGGGUAAGUCAAAAUCUCUUAUCUACCAUCUUCAUUUUUUUUAUUAAUGCAAAAAACUUUGUUAGUAUAAUUGUUUUAUAUCUCUUGAUUUAGUAUAUCUAUGAUGUGGGUUUUGUAAAUGGUGUUUUUUAUCGAGUUCCAGGGAAGUAAAAACUAGGUUUAACAUUCUAACAUAUUUUUUGUUUCAUUGCUAAUAAGCCCCAAAACAAAUGAAAACAAGAAAAAUGAAUUAUUUUUAAAAAUUUUGUCUAAUUGAGAAUGAGAGCUACACUAGUUUGUAGUAAUUUUUCGCAUAAAAUAGUAUUUUAUUGAAGACUUGACUAUAUUUGAUACUUUUUUCCACCGUGCUAGGAGCUUUUUGGUGAAGUCUAACAAUAGAGAUUGACAUCUACUACAAGAUGAUACUCAAUUAAUCCAAAAGCACUUAAGUUAUUUAGGGUUUUCUUCGGUUAACCUAAGAAAACAUUCCCACCUUCUUUGUAUUGAGUCACCUAAAUAGAAUAGAAUAUUGAGUAUCAGAAUCGUAAAGGGUAUUAUAAAUAUGACUUUUUUUUUUUAGAGUCACCUACAUGGAAUGAAUUAUUGGUAGGUGAACAAAAUAUUGGGGUGAUUGUAAUAGUUGAAUUAGUAAAUGGAAGAUAAGUGUAUGUUGCUUUGUUUAUUCUAUAAAAACAAUAAUUUUAGUAGUUGAAAUUUACAUGCUUUGUUGUUUUAUAAAAACAAUAAUUUUAGUAUUUGAAAUUUUAAAAUGUGAAUGAAAUGCCUGAAAAUAUGUUUUGAAAAAUAGGAUAGUAAUAAAUGGAAAAUAACUCAUUUCCUAAAAAUAUUUUGAUAAAUUAAAAUAAUAUGUGGUUAAAAUAUAUUUUUGUGAAAGUAUUUAAAAAUGAAUCAAAAUAUUAAUAAUUGUUAUUUUGUUUGAAAAUAAUUUAGGAAUAUAAAAUAAUAUUGGGGAUAAUUUUUGAGUUUAAAUUGGGUUAUAAAUGGUUAAUUUUUUUAGGACUGUCCUUUUUGAAAAUAAUCCAAUGAUAAUUUUUUUAAAUAAGAAUGUUGAAAAUAAUUUUAAAAAUAAAAUUUUGUUGGCAAUGAUUUUUCUAAAAGUAUUUUAGGCAUAAAUGGAAAUUUCUUGUAUGAAAAUAAGAGAAUUUAUAUAUAUAUAAUAGACAUAAAAAUAGACUUCUUUGAUAUUUAAUAAACAAGUGAAUUUUUCUCUAAAAAAAGAAUAAAAUAAGAAUUUCUCUAUAUAAUAAAAUAAUUUAUAUAUGAGAUAGUUUUCAAUAAGAAAGUUUUGAAAAUAAAUUUGGGAUAAAAUAUUUUUUAGUAAGUUUUGUUUAGAUAAUUCAAGAAUAAAGUGGUUUAUUAACUUUUCUUAAAAAAUAACAUUCUUCUUUCUUUUUUGAAAUGAUCAAUUUUUUUAGAAAUAAAACUGUUAGAUUCUAUUUUUUGUAAAUGUUUAAGAAAUUCUAAAAAAUUCUUUAAAAAUGAAAUGACCUUUCUACCACAUUUCUUGUAAUAAAUAAUUGUUUUUUUUUAUACAUAUUGUAAAGUAAAAAAAAAAGUCUUUGUUUAGUUAACCUAAAAAGACAUUCCUACUUUUCUUUGUGUUGAGAGUCACCUAAAUGGAAUAAAAUAUUCAAUAUCAUAGGAGAGUAAAAAGUAUUGUAGAAAUGAUUUUGUUGAGAGAGUUAUCUAAAUGGAAUGAGAUAUUGGUAGGUGAAUAAAAUAUUAUGGUGAUUGUAAUAGUUGACUUAGUGAGUGGAGAAGUGUAUGCUUCUUUGUUUAUUCUAUAAAAACAAUAAUUUUAGUAGUUGAAAACGUGUAUAAAAUGACUGAAAAUAUUUUUUGAAAAAUAAGAAAAUAAUAAAUGGAUAAUAGCUCAUUUCCUAAAAAUCUUUUGAUAAAUUAAAAUAACUUGUAGUUAAAAUAUAUUCUUAUGAAAGUAUUUAAAAAUGAACCAAUAUAUUAAUAAUUGUUAUUUUGUUUAAAAAUAAUUUAAUAGUAAAAAAAUAAUACUGAGUUCAAAUAUGACUACUUUGUUAUGAGAUUCAUUAAAGAAAUAAUUGUUGAUUUUACAGUUAUUGCAUCAAAGAUUUUACUCGUUUAAUGAAUUGUACAUAAUUUCAUACUUUCAAUUAUAGUGAUAUUAAUGUUAUUCUCAUUUGAUUUCAGUUUGAUGACAAAUAAAACAUAUUCUCAAGUAGAAUUUGAUGAAAUUAGAGAAAAAUAGAUUACUUUUGUGUUAUAACUAAUCAUGAAUCAUAUUGAUGUAUCGUGAUCAUUCAUGGUAAGUCCCUUAGUUGUUAUAUGAUUGAAUUUUCCAUUGAUAUUGUAUAACAUUACUUAUUCUUUACGAAUUAUUUUUAUACCAAAAUGAGAAAAAGAAAAAAGAAAAAGAAAACAUUAGUACUUAGAUUUGUUUAUUGUUUAUAACAUCACAUUUUUAUUUUCAAUAAGUACUCUAAAACUCAUUAAACUAUGAAAUGCAGGUAUACACUCUUGGGAUGACAAUAUGAAGAAUAAAAAGAAAGGAGAAAGAGGCAACAAGAUUUAGGUUUUUAGAUAUGACUCUUAUGUCAUACAUUAUAGGACAUAAAUGUUACUUUAUUUGGAAUUGAGAAUUUUGGGUUUUUGGAUGUAACUCUUGUGUCAUGUUAUGGUUAGCCGGUUUUAUGCAUAUGAAAUGCAAGUAUACAUGAAUGUUGGGAAGCUUAACAUUUCUAAAUCAUGUUUUAAUGUGUAUUCACUUUUCUUUUUUAGUUUUGGUGGGUUUGAUGUGUUUGAUGUACUAUCAUUUUGUGAACAUUUGAUAUACAAAUAUUAUUGGAUGAUGUAAUAUGUUACAAAUUAAUUCAUAAGCAUUAUGAAAAUAUAAGUUAAAUGUAAUAUGAUUAUUAUAUUUAUGGACAAUUUACAUAGGUUAGUCUUAUUUAUUAAUAAGCAUUACAAAAAUCUACAAACUAAUCAACAAAAAACAACCAUAUCUUCCAUAAUCAUUUACAAUGAUGUGACACCAUAAAUUAAAGGUGAUACAUUUAACGUGACACCAUAACUCAAAGAUGAUGCAUUUAAUAUGACACCUUAUAUAUCUCAUACAACUCUAUAUCAAAUUAAGCAUCACUAAAAAUAUAUGGUGUCUCUUCUAAAUGUGUCACCAUUUAUCUGCUUUGGUGUCACUUCCAAAUACGUCACCAAUUGAUAUCCUCUAUGGUGUCAGUGGAUAAGGUGACGCUAUGUUGUAAUGACACCCUAUGUUUAUAGUGACUUAUUAUAAAUGUCACCAUAUAUCUUUUUCCUUGUAGUGUGUGGAUAUCCUGGGUUCGAGAUAUCUUGCUCAGAAGAGAAGCGGACCAUGCUAGAGCUGCCCUAUUCAGUAAAACUCUCGGUGCAGAAAAUAAAUUACACUUCUCAGGAAAUUUGGGUCUCUGGACGGGAUUUUUGCAAAAACUUUAAUUUAUCUGCCUCUCCAUUCCAGUUCAUGAGUGCGUACCGAUCUGACUACAUAAUCUUCAGUUGUUCAGAGAGCAAAGCAGAUCCAUAUAAAAAUCUUAAUCCCACCCAUUGCGGUUUUCUUCCCAAUAACCUAGUUUACGGUGUGAGUCCCGAGGCUAGUCUCAGUCACUUGGACUUAUCCUCGUGCUCCAUGAUCUACUAUUUUUCAAUCCCAUCUUGGUCUGUAGACCUUGGGGACUAUAGUGAAUAUAAUGUUGUCAUGAAUUGGUCAAGACCAUCGUGUGGAGACUGCGAAGCAAAAGGAAAGAGAUGCAGAUUGCAGGAGAGUAAUAUCAAGGAACCUGAAAUCGAAUGUGUGGAUCAACCACCAAAAGGUACGUAGUUCUAUGCAACACUCGUUACAUAACUUCUAUUAUGGUUACUUAAUUUUAAGCUAUGUUUGGUUAUCAAAAAAAUUGAGGGAAAAUAUAUAUAAAAAAAAAUGAGAAAAAAUAUAAAGACACCCAAAAUAAAAGAAAUAAAAAUUAAAUUUAAAGUUAAUAAAUUAUUUUUAUAUGUUAUUUUUUAAACUCAUUUCACUUAUUCUAUCUCUUAGAUAUAAAGAUUAAAUAAUUCAAAAACACAUAAUACUUUGAAUAAUUUUAAUCAUAUUUGAUUUUUAAAAAAUAUUUUUUUAUGGUAUAACCAAAUAUGAAAAAAAAUCAUUUUUUUUAACUUUUUUUCUUUCUUUAAUACUUUUUAUGAACCAAAGAUGACCUCAAUAACUAGUUAUUUUAUUUUGAAAAGAAUAUAUAACUUGGUAUACUAUUAGGGAUAUUCCUUUUUGCUAACCUAGAUCUUGAUCAAAUUAUUUAUUCUAGGGGUUUACAUAACUUCUACUAUGGUUAUUUAAUUUUAGGCUAUAUUUAAUUGAUUGCCCAAAAAUUUGUGGGAAAAUAUUAGGAAAAAAAUAAAAGGAAAAUAAAAAAUAAAUUUAAAGUUAAUAAAUUAGUUUUAUAUAUAUUACUCAAAACUUCACUUAUUUUAACUCUUAAAAAAUUAAAUAAUUUAAAAAUAUAUGACUUUGAAUCAUUUUAAUCAUAUUUGAUUUUCUUUAAUAUAUUCCAUGGUAUAAUCAAACACAAAAAAAAAAAAAAAAAAUCAUUUUUCUUAACAAUUUUUUCUUUCCUUAAUACUUUUUAGGAACCAAACAUGAUCUUUAUAACUGGUUGUUUUAUUUUGAAAAGAAUAUAUAACUCGAUAUACUGCAAAGGAUAUUCCUUUCUAAUAACCCAGACCCUGAUCAAAUUAUUUGUUUUAGGGUUUUAUAUAUAUGUCUCUUAUAAGUAUAUCAUAUGCAAGUAAUAGAUUGAGGCAUCCUCUCUUUGUACAUUAGAAAUAUCAAGGCAAGAGAAAAAAAAACAAAUAAAAGAAAAUGGAAACAAAAUAUAAUUAGAAACUAAUGAAAAUUAUACAUCUUUAAAUUCUUUUUUUUUUUUUUUAUGUUUCAAAAGUGUUCAAAAUUGAGGAAAAAUUAAAUCAAGCUAGCAAGAAUAUUUUUCCACUCAAACUUAUAUUUUUGUAUUCUUUAUCACCAAAUUGGAUUGAAUCAUUACGAUGACUCUAUGGUGAAUGUAACUUAAUUCAUAAGUUAUCUCUUAACCAAAACUACUAUAGUAUUUCCACAUGAUAGGAAUGAGAAGGGCAAUGUUAUUUCUUUACUAAAAGCUGGCUACAAGUGGACGUACCCACACACUUAGGUUUAGCUAAAAAAAUAUUAACCUAUGGAAACUGAAGGAACAAUAGGCCUAAGUUCAUUUGAAAACCAAUAGCACUGACUAAAAUUAAGCCAACAUCAAAAUCUUCUUAUAACAUAUUAUGAUUUUAUUAAUUUCAAAAGUACAAGAAGCUGAUAAAUUUAUUAUAUAUCUCUUUCAGAUGUAUCAAAAGAGUGGACGAUUACAGGUAAUUUUCUAUUCACGCAUACUUUUUUUUUAAUCAACUAUGAGGAAGACAUGAGGAUUCUCAAAUUCCUUUUUUUAAUUUCUUCAUUUGCUCUAAAACCUUUUCUGGAUUUCUACCUUUAUAUUUUUUUAAUAUAUUUACUCAAAAACCCUUUUUUUUCCCCUCUACGCAGGAGUAAUUCUUGGUUUCUUUCUUCUCUUGCUAGUAGUCAUUAUUUGCUAUAAUGUCUAUACCACUGAUAAAUCAAAAAAAGAGCACAGCAAAAAGCUUCAAAAGUUUUUGGAAGAUUAUAGAGCUCUCAACCCAUCAAGGUACUCCUAUGCCGAUAUUAAGAAGAUAACAAAUCUGUUCAAGGACAAAUUGGGUGAAGGAGGUUAUGGAACCAUUUAUAAAGGAAAACUUUCAAAUGAAGUUUUUGUUGCAGUAAAAAUCCUUAACGAUUCCAAAAAAAAUGGUGAAGAGUUUAUUAAUGAAGUAAGAACAAUGGGUAGAAUCCAUCACAUUAAUGUGGUUCGCUUAGUUGGAUUUUGUGCUGAUGGUUAUAAACGAGCUUUGAUUUAUGAAUUCUUACCAAAUGAGUCUCUCGAGAAGUUUAUAUUUAAGAACCAAUCACUUGGUUGGCAAAAGCUUCAUGAUAUCGCUCUAGGUAUAGCUAAAGGAAUUGAAUAUCUUCACCAAGGUUGUGAUCAACGAAUCCUUCAUUUUGAUAUUAAACCUCAUAAUAUUUUGCUAGACCAAAAUUUUAACCCCAAAAUCUCUGAUUUUGGUUUAGCAAAAUUAUGUUCUAAGGAACAAAGUGUUGUUUCUAUGACAGCAGCAAGGGGGACCAUGGGCUAUAUUGCACCAGAAGUGUUGUCUAGGAAUUUUGGAAAUGUAUCCUAUAAAUCAGAUGUUUAUAGUUUUGGAAUGUUGUUACUUGAAAUGGUAGGAGGAAGGAAGAAUAGUGAUGCUAUAAUGGAGAACACUAGCCAAAUGUAUUUUCCAGAAUGACUCUAUAAUCAUUUAGAACAGAAUGGAGAGAUACAUAUCCGAAUUGAGAAAGAGGAAGACACUAAAAUAGCAAAAAGGCUAAGCAUUGUGGGUCUUUGGUGCAUUCAAUGGCACCCAAUAGAUCGCCCUUCCAUGAAAAUUGUGCUAAAAAUGUUGGAAAGAGAAGACAAUAUAACCUUGCCUCCCAAUCCUUUUGCCUCUUCAGGUCCAACUAGAACAAAUGUUAGACGACGAAGAACAUCUCUCCAACAAGAGUUGAUAGUUAUUUCGGAGUUAGAGUAAAAUAAAAUAAAAAAUUGUCUACUUCCUUUAUUGCUAUUAUUGUAUUUUGGUUGUCAAUCAUGUCAUAAUCAAUACUUCAUUAAUGUAUACUUUUAUUUACUAUUGUCCUUCAUUCUCAUAUUUGUACAAUAAGGUAUUUUGAGGCUAAAUUUACAUUAAUUAUGUUUGAAGGGUUGCUGAGGUUCACAUCACCAACUUUCUUUAUUCUUACACAAGUACUUUCCUUAAUUGUUAGUAAUAAGCUGCUGAAAGAAGCUUAUUAAUUCCUUGUGCUUAAAUAAACUCAACAAGAAAAAGCAAUCAUGCCUUAUGGAGAAGCCAAUAAAAAUCAAAAUCAAAAUCAUUUAAUUCCAAGUAUUAUGCAUGCAACUCAUUACUUUUUGGAGAGUUUUCUUGACACAUCCAAACAAUGUUGCUAUAAUUUGUACUAAAACAUAUGGAUGUCUAAAUACAUCAACUACUUGAUAAUGUUUGAUUUUUCUUCAUUGCUUUGCUUGUUAGGCAUGAUGUUCAAAUUUUUUUUUUCCUAUUAUGAUAUUUUUGUGAUAAUUUAAUGAUGAAAUAAUUUGAUCACAACAUUAAUCUUCUGCGAUAAGAAAUUAUUAUCAUGGAAAAUAUCUUCUUUUUUUAAUGAUGAAAGUCAUUUUUUAUCACAAAAUAUAUAUACUUUCAUUGUAAGUAAAAUAUGUAAUAAUUAAACUCAUCUACUGUUUCAGUUGAUGAUUAAUGUUAUAUACAUGGUUUUAAAAACCAGACCGAGCCUGCCGGUCCGACCGUCGGCCAGUUACGAUUCCUAUCCAAUUUGGUCAAUUAGCUCGAAAAGAUGUUAAACUAGAAUAGGACUAGUUAAACCGGUGGUCCAACCAGCUAACCAGACAAAUCGGACUGUUCAAUUAUUAUUUUUUUCAAUGUUAAAACGACGUCUUUUUGAUGCUUCUCCCAUCUUCAACCUUCAAUCCAUCCCUCUUUCAGUGUGAAGCCAUCGUCACGCCCCUCAUGCCUCGACACCGACUGUGAGCCUCCCCCGCUGUGACACUAGCUCCCCCCGGCAAUACCGGUUGGAAGCUCCUCCUUUGGUCGGUAGCUGUAAAUCUCCUUCCUCCCACCAUGACCACCCCCUAUGUAAGGCCCCCUCACCCACCCUCCCCCAACUAUCAAAAACACCCAUCCUCCCCUUCUCCCAACCCACCAUAAAUUUCCCCCGUGUAAUACCCACUCUGAGCAGCGGCAAUAGCUGGAAGGUGAAAUUUUUUAUGUUUUAUAUUUAAUGUGUUUUUUUAUUAUAAUUUGAUUUAUUUCUAAUUUGAAACCAAUUUUCUGAUUUUCAAAUAAAAUUUUUAUUUUUAAAUAAUAUAUAAAUUAUUAUUUUUAUUUUUAUAAUUAUUUUAAAUUUUAAUCAUUUAUAAAUUAUAUAUUUAAUUAUUUAUGACGUCUUCGGCUCGACCGUCAGUCCAACCAAUGAACCGUGAAUCGGUAACUUUUCCGAUUCAAUGACCAAUCUGAUUCUGAAAACAUUGGUUAUAUAUUGCAUGAUAAUAAAUGUAAAUAUCACAAAUCUUAAACUUGAUAUUAGCAUUAAAAGUGCUCCCCAACUAGUCAAUUAUAUGCUACCUUGUAUAUGCUCGGCUUUCUCACUUUUUCUUCUAGUUUUUUUUAUGUUUAAAACUACUUUUAUAAAUAAGGAUAGUCUUGGGGUCCUCUUGAGACAUAUCAAAGAAACAUCAGUUGAGUCGAAGGAUUAGUUUUGCGUGCACUUCAAUAGUCUAGGGUUUGGUAUGGAGCAACCUAGAGAUUCCAACAGUUUCAUCGUAAUCCACUCCAUAUUUCUACGUAAAUCCCUUUAUCACUAGGUUGGCCUUAUACCUCUCAAUGGACCCAUCUAAUUGAGUUCGUCCUUUGUAAUCUCAUUUACAACCCACUAUAAAUUUUCUAGAAGGUAACAUGGAAAGAUCCCUCAUAUGUUUAACUCUUGUUCAAUGCCUCUAUUUCUUUUUCCAUUUCCUUUAGCUAAUGAGGAUUUGUCAUGAUAUGACUUGCGCUCAUAAAUAGAUAAAAUUUUCAAGAGAAAACAAUGAAAAUAAUGUAACCAUUGUGAAGGAAAAUGGGUUCUUGACUAAUGGCAAAGUUCAUGAAAAGUACUAGUUACCUUAUCAUUCUUCAAGGACUAAAUAUCAGGACAAGGUUCAACAAAGUUGUCCUAUUUGAAGGAUUUGUGUUAAGAAUCCAAAUUAGAGGAUGUGUUGAAAACUCAAUUCAGUCUACAUAAUUUAUAUUACUAAUUCAUUACUUAGCAGUUUAAGAUUUUGAAUAAAAUUUAUAAGGCCUUAUUUUUUAGAAGGAUGAGAGUUCAUGUUGGAUUAAAUUAAUAACUUAGUGCUUAUUUGGAAACAUUUUCCAUAAUCUACUUUUAAAAAUAGGAAUAAAUGUAGUAACUUUUAUAUAAAAAGUAUAAACUUACCUUAUAUCUUUAAAAAUUAUUUUUAGAAUUUUUAAAAUUUGAGAUACUAAAAUUUUUUUAAUAUCUUAAUUUUUUAAAAUCAUCAACUACUAUCAUUUUUUGUUUCAAAAAAAAAAAAAUAGUAAGCAUAUCUAAACAAUUCCUUAAUGACUUAAUUCCUUUGUUGUCAAGAUCUACAUUUAGCUAGAUAUGGUUGUUGAUGUAAUCCAGGAAAGUAAUAAAUUUUUGUGGGGAAAAAAAAGUAUAAACUUUUAUAUAAACAAAAUAUCCAAAAUCAAAUCAAUAUGUAAGGGACAUAUGAAUUUUUUGCAUGGAAAACCCCCACACUAACUAUGAAAAUAAAAACCACGGGGUUUAAAACCUUAAAUCUAAAUCCACUAUAUGAGAUCAAGUCAUACGAAAUUAUCUAACUAGUUUACUCUAAAGAUUUACUCUCCAAAACCUACAACUUUAUCCACGUCUGCGACGCAACAAUCUCCAAUUGCUCUUGUGAAUUCUUCUCAACCUCAUUGAAAUGAUGCAGGUCUUCUAACAACUCUAAAUUCAAUACUUUGAAUCUUCCAUGAGUGAUUGGAAAUGGUUAUGUGAUAUCCCACAUCGGAUAGGGGAGAAUGUUCCUGGCGCUAUAUAUGUAGAGGCUCCUCUUAACCAAGAAAACGCGUUUUAAAACCGUGAGGGCCCCCUUGGGCCCAAAGCGGACAAUAUCUACAUGGUUGGGUGCGGGUCGUUACAAAUGGUAUCAGAGCUGAUCCCCGACCCCGGUGUGGGGGUUUGUUUGGCCUCGUAAGGGGUGUUUGUUUGUUUGGCCCCGCAAUCCCAUGGGACACAACGAGGACGUUGUGUCUGCAUGGGGGGGGGGGGUGUUUGUGAUGUCCCACAUCGGAUAGGGGAGAAAGUUCCUGGCGCUAUAUAUGUAGAGACUCCUCUUAACCAAGUAGACGCGUUUUAAAGGCGUGAGGGCCCCUUUAGGUCAAAAGCAGACAAUAUCUACACUGUUGGGACCGGGUCGUUACUAUCAAAGCCGAUCCCCGACCCCGGUGUGGGGAUUUGUUUGGCCCCAUAAGGGGUGUUUGUCUAUUUGGCCCCGUAAUCCCAUGAGACACAACGAGGACGUUAUGUCUACAUGGGGGUGUUUGUGAUGUCCCACAUCGGAUAGGGGAGAGUGUUCCUGGCGCUAUAUAUGUAGAGGCUCCUCUUAACCAAGUAGACGUGUUUUAAAGCCGUAAGGGCCCCUUUAGGUCCAAAGCGGACAAUAUCUACACGGUUGGGAGUGGGUCGUUAAAAAAUGGUAUCAGAGCUGAUCCCCGACCCCGGUGUGGGGGUUUGUUUGGCCCCGCAAUCCCAUGGGACACAACGAGGACGUUGUGUCUACAUGGGGGAGGGGGGGUGUUUGUGAUGUCCCACAUCGGAUAGGGGAGAGUGUUCCUGGAGCUAUAUAUGUAGAGGCUCCUCUUAACCAAGUAGACGUGUUUUAAAACCGUGAGGGCCCCUUUAGGUCCAAAGCGGACAAUAUCUACACGGUUGGAAGCGGGUCGUUACAAAUGGUAUCAAAGCUGAUCCCCGACCCUAGUGUGGGGGUUUGUUUGGCCUCGUAAGGGGUGUUUGUUUGUUUAGCCCCGCAAUCCCAUGGGACACAACAAGAACGUUGUGUCUGCAUGGGGGGGAGUGUUUGUGAUGUCCCACAUCGGAUAGGGGAGAGUGUUCCUAGCGCUAUAUAUGUAGAGGCUCCUCUUAACCAAGUAGACGCGUUUUAAAGCCGUGAAGGCCCCUUUAGGUCCAAAGUGGACAAUAUCUACACGGUUAGGAGCGGGUCGUUACAAAUGGUAUCAGAGUUGAUCCCCGACCUCGGUGUGGGGGUUUGUUUGGCCUCGUAAGGGGUGUUUGUUUGUUUAGCCCCGCAAUCCCAUGGGACACAACGAGGACGUUGUGUCUACAUGGGGAGGGGUGUUUGUGAUGUCCCACAUCGGAUAGGGGAGAGUGUUCCUGGCGCUAUAUAUGUAGAGGCUCCUCUUAACCAAGUAGACGCGUUUUAAAGUCGUGAGGGCCCCUUUAGGUCCAAAGCGGACAAUAUCUACACGGUUGGGAGCGGGUCGUUACAAAUGGUAUUGAUUCGUGCCCAAUUGGUGUCUCAGCUGAUUUGUGUUCAGCUGGUGCUCCUUGAUUGAGGGAGUAAUCAACAAAAUUUAUUACCUAUAACACCAUACACUAGGGUAGCAAAGAAAAAGCUACUAUAGUAUAGUGGCUCUAGGAUCGUUCACUGGGAAUGAUUAACAAGCAAUCAAUGAUACCAAUUCCAAGUGAAUUGGUCUUGUUUCAUUUCAAGGUUAGCUUAAGAAGUAAAACACAAACUUUGAUUGGUAAAGGUUUAGACUUAAACUAACUAACAUAACAGAAGUUUGGAAUAAUUUAGGAAGAAAAGCAUUCCCUGGAGAUUUAGGUUCACUGGGGUGGUUCCUCAUGCAAAAGACAUAGCUCCGGUCAGAUGGUUCAUUUCCUCGCGUUAGAGAUUCAACAUAUAGUCAAUUCUCUAACCGGUGUUGUACAGAGACUCCUUCAAUUAGAUUUCACUUUAAUUCUCUCACUGAUGCAACUUGCAAUGGUUUAAGCCUCUCACUAAGCCUUAACCAUUCAAGGUGAUCUUUAACCUUGGAUUACCCGUCAAAAGCUCGCAAGAGAUAACUAAUGGAUGUCUCCUUGGAGUCCAAAAGCUUAUCAAGUGUUGGCUAUUCUAGAAAAUCCUACCCUGAAGUCACCUACCAGAGGCUCGCAAGGGGUAAACUAGUGCAUUUCCAUGGUUGGAAAUCACUUGCCUUACCAAGUGUUGGCCUAGGUGACUCUAAGGUGUUUUAAGUUAACUAAAAACAUAGAAAUCACUAAAGGAUUUCACUUCCUCUUCAUUACUAGCUAAAACCACAAAGCUUUGCAUUCUUGCACUUGGAACCUUCCCCGGCAACCUUAGCUCCAAGGAAUUAGAGGUUUAGUUACUCAUUCUCUGGGGAAAACUCCUCAGAGAAUUCAUAACUUAGAAAUAAAAUGAAAAUACAAAGUGAGAAGGUAAGGCAGUAGAAAUUAAGAAAAUAGACUUUACUUGCUUACCCAAACGUUUACAGAAAGAACUCCUCCCUGAGAACAGGCUCCCGAGAGGUAUAUAUAUGAACAUAAUAUAAAACUAAUUAUUACAUAGAUAUUUAGUCUUUUUACUAACUUAAAACUAAGGAAUCAUGUAAUUGGUGGGUGUUUGUGAUGUCCCACAUCGGAUAGGGGAGAAAGUUCCUAGCGCUAUAUAUGUAGAGACUCCUCUUAACCAAGUAGAUGCGUUUUAAAACCGUGAGGGCCCCCUUGGGCCCAAAACGGACAAUAUCUACAUGGUUGGGUGUGGGUCGUUACAGGUUAGGCAAGUUAGGUUUAAUUCUUUUGUAAGUGUCCAACCCUAAAAGGGUUUAUAUAGGCCUCUAGGCCUUAGGAGAUCAAUAUCCCAAGUUUUUCAAAUGCAAUAUUUGUGAAUUUCCAAAAAAAUAUUUUAUCAUAUUCUGGCAAAUUCGGGACGAUCGAGCUAGUGUACUUACCCACCGCUCAAGUGACUCGGGCACUUGAGUGUUGGAUAAGCGCUUAAGUAGUUUCAAUGCUUGAGUGUUGUUUCCAACACUCGAGUGUCUCCUAUUUUUCCAAAAUAAUAAAUUAAGCAUUUUAAUUCACAAAAAAUAUAUCAAUCAAAUUUAAAUCUUUAAACACCUAUCUUUUUAAACUUGCAUGUGACUUUUCAAUUAAGCGAAUAACAAUCUUGAAUCUUCAAUAAAGAGUAAGUCACUACUAAAAAAAUUUCAUAAGCCAAAUGAAACAAAAUUAUUAACUUACAAUGUAGACUCCUUGUCCUAACACAUGUCUCAAUGUUAUUUCAUAUUGUAUGUAUGUCAAGACUCCUUAAUCAUUUUUUUCAAAGAGACAAGACACAAAGUAUUUCAAUCUGGCACUCGUCUUUAAUGAAGGGACCUUCUCAAAGGUAAAACCAGAAAGUGGUGAAAAUUUGAGAUACAAAAUUACAUUGUUUUUGCCAUCCAAAUUUGGGAAAUAGAAAAUGAAAGGGGAAAAAAUUUAGAAUAGGAAGUAGUCCAAAAAAGAAACAAGGAGAAUAUAAAUUAGCACAAAAUGGAGAAAUGGGCUAGAAAAUAUAAAAAAGAAAUGAAGAAACUUAAAAGAUUGUGUUGUUCCAUCGUAUCCUACACUAUACAAAAUAAAAAAUACUAGGUUUUUUUCACUCUAGUUCUAAGAUCAUUGUUAGUUCUUGUCGAAGAGAUUUUCUAGGCUAGCUUGCAUUUGUUCUCAUUGGAUUCAUGUAGGUGAAAAGAUUAGGCAACAUGGCUAAAUUGUCUCCUACCUUCCUAUUCUAACAUUUGAACCACAAGUUUCAUAGUAGGAAGAUUCACUAGAUACCAUUGAAUACACCAAAGUCCCACAAUUGUUAAUUUCUUUGCUAUUUUAGCAUCUUCAUCUUCCUCAACCCAAAUCUACAACUCUUCUCCUUUAUUCAAACGAUUUUAGAUCCAUUCUGGAAAGUAUACUUGGCUAGUGUUUUUCAUUGUCACAUCAACAUUUUUUUUUUCCUCCUACAAUUUCAAGCAACAACAUUCCAAAACUAUAAACAUCUAACUUGUAGGAAACAUUCUCCAAAUUUCUAGAUGAUACUUCCGGUGCAAUAUAACCCACAAUCCCUCUAGCUGCAUUCCUAAAAACUGCAAUUUCCCCCUUAGAAUAUAAUUUUGCUAGGCCAAAAUUGGAUAUCUUUAGAUUGAAGUUAUAAUCCACUAAAAUAUGAUGAGACUUGAUAUCAAAAUGGAUGCUUCUUUGAUCACAACCUUGGUGGAAAUACUCAAUACCUUUGGUCAUGCCUAGAGCAAUAUCUUAAAGUUUCUCCCAACCAAGUGAGCAUUUUUUAAUAGUUGUUGAAAAUAUAAAAUUCUCUAAAGAUCCAUUAGGUAAGAACUCAUAAACAAGGACACGGCAAAAUCCAUCAGCACUAAAACCAACUAAGCAAACAAUAUUAAUAUAGUGAACUUUGUUCAUUUCUCUCAUUUCAUUAAUGAAUUCUUCCCCAUUUCCCUUGAAAUUGUUAAAGGAUCUUGACAACAAGAACUUCAUCAAAAAACUUUCCUUUAGAUACAGUUCCAUAACAUCCUUCACCCAAUUUGUCCUUAAAUUGAUUCAUAAUCCUCUUAAUAUCAACAUAAGAAUAUCUUGAAGGCUUGAGAGUCAUGCAGUCUUCCAAAAAAAAUUCAAUCUCUAUUUGAUUGAAAGUUAAUAAAUUAUUUUUAUAUAUAUUUUUAAACUCAUUUCAUUUAUUUUAACUUUUUAAAUAAAGAUUAAAUAAUUUGAAAAUGCAUAAACUUUUAACUAAAUUUAAUUAUAUUUUUUUUUAUAUUUUUCAUAAUAUAAUCAAACAUGAGAUAAUUAUUCUUUUUACCAUUUUUUCUUCCUUUAAUACUUUCCCAAACCAAACGUAGCAUUAGUGGACUAUAAACUAGAAAAGAUGGAAUCUAUAACACUUCAUAAUUCCUCACCCUGGGUCUAACAUUCAUGGGUUAGGUCACACAUCAAUUCUUGCCCGCUCGGAGAAGGUGCCAAAGAGAAAUCACUGAAUACAUCUGCUUCUCUUUUCUCUUUUUUCAUAUUGGUGCCUUGGCAUUCAGACAAGGAAAAAACAGGAUAAGAGAACAGCUAGUAGCUUCUCCUCACAAAAUAUCCCAAGUCAUGGUUACUUUUCUCAGCUUAAUUAUUGCUGAAGAGACUAAGUGAAUGAUUUCCUUGUUGAAAGAUGUGGAUGAAGCCAAUCCAAGAAAAAUGUAAUGAUCAAAAAGAGGUAAUCAAUACCUGAAUGUGCUGCACUUGAGCUAGGGUACCAACAUUGUCUCACCAUAUAAUUAAAGGAAAUUAAGAGGAUAGAAUAUAUAGAUUGUUCAGAAGCAUUCCAAUCCAAUAUAAUUCAGAUAGAGUAUUGCCAUAAAUCAAUACUUAGCCUGUAAGCUCCAACUAGGGAUUGUUACUUUGCAGCCCCAAGUGAGAAGAUAUAAGAAGAGUAGAGUCCAUCCCAAUAGAUAGAUAACUAUAGGAUAUCUUUAGGAAGAAGUGAAUCUCAUGUGCUCUUACGAUAACAAAGAAUUAAUGUACUAAGUCCAUUUGUUCUAGAUUAUAAAUUGUGGAUUGUUGUUUCUUCUUCCUAAGAGUCUUGGACGAACUUAUAUAGGUAUAUUUCAAAUUCAUAAAUAAUAGCUAACAAGUCAUGACUAUGAAGAACUUCCAAAAACCACUAUAAGGUAAAAGGGAAACAAUGAUACUUUUUGAACAUUUCCUAUUUGAUUGAUCUCACCAAUAGGAUGCAAACGACAUGUUCAACCAACUCCAUUAGGAAUUGUCUCUUUUUAGCUAGUUAGCUUCAAAGUAAAAUCCUGCUUUGAGUUGGCCUUUAAAAGACAACCUGUGUUCUUUGGGAUAAACACCCAUUUUUAGAGUAAAAAGCAUAGUUGUGAACCACACGAGAGAUAGUGCUUUAAAAGCUUUUCUAUGAUUUCCUCAUUAACUAUAGUUAAAAAACAGUCCCCUAUAUGUUUGAUAGUUUUAUGGUCUUCCCAUUAAUUAAUUUGGGCCUUCCCCUUAAUUCUUUUGAAAACAAUAAGUCCCAUUUUUCAUGAAAAAUAAGAAAUCAUCCAUUACAAAAUUAGUCAAGUUUUAUAUGAAUUUGAUUAAGAGCUUGUCAAUAGAAAUUACCUUACAAGGUUUAAUGUUUCUAAUUAAGACCUUCCUAGACAUAUCCUUCUCAUAAAUUUUGUGGAGAAAUUUCAAAGCCAAUUUUUCCAAGGAAAAUAAGAAACCGUGUAACCAUCGAUCAAGCUUUCCCAUGUACCCUCCUUUCUUUCAAUUCUUGCACAAUAAGUCAAAUACCCCACAAUGCUUAAUGUUUCUAUAUUGACACCUUCCUAAAAGUCCUUCUCAAUAAUUCUUUUGAAAAUAAUAGCACUCAUCUUCUCAUGGAAAACAAAAGACAUUGGUUUUCGAUGCUUGUUUUUCCAUGGAAAAUAAGAAAUUACCAAAGGAAUGAGUCAAGCUUUUCUACCCUUUUUCUAUUUUAGUUACAUACAUCAACUACCCCACAAUGUUUAUUGUUUCUUUGUUGAUACCUUCCUAAAAGGUUAUUCUAAAUAAUUCUUUUGAAAAUAGUACCACUUAUCUUAUCCCCAUCGUGUUUAGUUUUUCUAGUCAGCACAUUCUAGACAUUAUUCCUACCCCAUUAAUUUUGUCGAAAAUUUUCUCCUGCCUAGUUUUCCAUGGAAAAAAAACUCACAAAAGGAAUCAGUCAAGAUUUUCUACCCUUGUUUCUAUCCUUAUUAAAUACUCAAAUGUUUCUAUUUUGACACCUUCCCAACCAGUUCCAUUUCUCAUGGAAAACAAGAAAUCAUUGGUUAUGAUUCCCAUGGUAGGAAACAACCAAAGAAACUACUCAAGCUUGUCUACCCUUAUUUAAUUUCCAUCAAGGAUCCCAUAGCAUUUUAAUUUUUCUAUGUUGACACCUCCUGAGCCCUUCCCCUUAUUCUUAUGAAAACAAUAACACCAUUUUCCAUUGAAAACAAGAAUCAUUAAAUUCAAAGGAUUUGAAGAUUUUUCUGAAGGGCUUGUUAGAAGAAAUUGUCCCACAAUGCCUAAUGUUUCUAAUUGACACCUUAAAUAUUAUUCCUUCCCUAGUGUUUCAUGGAAUGUAACUUAAAAAUGUUACAAAAUUUAAUUUUAAAGAUUAUUAUGAUUCAUCUUUCAAUCGACUUUGUAAGCAUUAUGCUUCGUAAUCUCCUUUUAUCCAAAAACAAAUCCUAGUUGACGACAUUUGCUACUCACAAUGUUAUAUAUUUCUAAAUUUGAAAAUUGACACCUCUUAAAGGUCUUUCUCAUUAAUUCUUUUGAAAACAAUUAAAAUUAAGUCCUUUAGCAAUAGUAUAAUCAAUCAAUUUCAGAAACAUUGAUUCUUAAUACAUAAAAUCUAAAUAAUUUUAUUUCAAGAUUAAAACAAAUAACUAGAACACUUCUUUAUUUAUUAAGACAAGGCAAAAAGAAAUGUAGUUUAUCAUGGGAAAGCAAGUGAGCAAUAAACAAGAAAAUGAAAAUUCAUUAGAAGGCAAUCACAUUAUAAUAUAAUAUUAAGGUUUUUUUUUGUCUAAAAUUUUAAAUAUGAAUAAUUACAAUUUAUGAAAUUUAAUUUUGUUAAAAAUUGGAUAAUUAUGAGACAAAAAUAAUAACCUUAUGUGACAAAAUUAUAGUUUCAAUUUUGAAGUUUUUGGAUUUAUUUUAGAUUAAUUUCUUAUUCAAAUUAAAUAAUUUUUACAUUUGAUUCUUAAGUAACAAUUCAUAAAAAUAAAAAUUUUAAAUUUUCUUAAGAAACAUGAAAAAAAUUUAUUUCUUGAUGACAUAUUUGCUAAUUUAUCAUAAAUUCAUUUCUCAUUCAAAUAGUAUAAAAUAUAGGUAAUUUAAUUCAUUAUUAAAAUAAAAGUUGUCCAUAACUUUCAAAAAAUAAAUUUAAUUUUAUUAUUAUUUCUCAAAAACUAUUUUUUAACAAAAAAUAAUAAUAAUAAUUACGAAACAUCUUUUUGAAUUUGAAAAACUAAUUUUAAAAAUAUUCUCAAAUACACUCUUAAUUUCUUAUAAAUUACCAUAAAUUUGAAAUUUUAUAUUUUAUAUUUGAUAAAAAAAAAUUUAAAAAAAAAACCCUUUUAACUUUUUUUAUACCACAGCAAAUAAAUAUGUUACCUCGAGGUUUAAUAUAGUAAUUAAUAGAAGAUAAUCGAAAUAAAAUUUUCCACCCCUGCCCAAAAAUUAAUCCAACAGUUACUCAAAAAUCCUUUUUGUAUGAAACUUCACGUACAAAACCAAACACUCCCUCCUUUAUGAGCUUGAAGCGUUGAACAACUUCAUUUCUCUCAAACUAGCCGUUAGGGGAAGAUCAUGAUAACUCUCUCUCUUCCCUCUCCCGCCCAACCCCUCCUCCCACCUUCCUCCAAAACCCUAAACCCUUCCCGCCAAAACAUUAUCCCCUCCUCCCUCUCUCUCAAAAACCCCAACUUCGAGCCCCUCAAGAACCGUCUGAUCCGCCAACUCGACGUGGGCCGCCUCCACCAUGCAUUCUCCACCCUUGAUCUCAUGACCCAGCAAAACGCCCCACCAGAUCUCACCACCUACUCCAUCCUCCUCAAGUCCUGCAUCCGAUUCCGCAACUUCCAACUCGGGAAACUCGUCCACCGGAAGCUAAUGCAGUCUGGACUCGAGCUCGACUCGGUUGUGUUGAACACUCUGAUCAGCUUGUACUCAAAAUGUGGCGACACCGAAACCGCUAGGUUGAUUUUUGAGGGAAUGGGAAAUAAGAGAGACUUGGUUUCAUGGAGUGCGAUGGUCUCAUGUUUUGCGAAUAACAGUAUGGAGUUGCAAGCAAUUUGGACAUUUCUUGAUAUGCUUGAAUUGGGGUUUUACCCGAAUGAGUAUUGCUUUGCGGCCGUGAUUCGGGCUUGUUCAAACGCCAAUCACGCCUGGGUUGGGGAGAUAAUUUAUGGGUUUGUGGUGAAAACCGGGUACCUUGAGGCUGAUGUCUGUGUUGGGUGCGAAUUGAUUGAUAUGUUUGUGAAGGGUAGUGGUGAUUUGGGCUCAGCUUAUAAGGUGUUUGACAAAAUGCCUGAGAGAAAUUUGGUUACUUGGACUUUAAUGAUAACUAGAUUUGCGCAAUUAGGUUGUGCAAGAGAUGCAAUUGAUUUGUUUUUAGAUAUGGAAUUGAGUGGUUAUGUACCGGACCGUUUUACAUAUAGUAGUGUCCUUUCUGCUUGUACAGAAUUAGGAUUGUUAGCACUAGGAAAGCAAUUGCAUUCACGAGUAAUACGUUUAGGAUUGGCAUUGGAUGUUUGUGUUGGUUGUAGCUUGGUGGACAUGUAUGCAAAGUGUGCAGCAGAUGGGUCAGUGGAUGAUUCGAGGAAGGUAUUUGAGCGGAUGCCUGAGCAUAAUGUUAUGUCUUGGACUGCAAUUAUCACAGCGUAUGUGCAAAGUGGAGAGUGUGAUAAGGAAGCUAUUGAACUUUUCUGCAAGAUGAUAUCCGGUCAUAUAUGGCCUAAUCAUUUCUCAUUUUCAAGUGUUCUCAAGGCAUGUGGAAACCUUUCUGAUCCAUAUACAGGUGAGCAGGUGUACAGCUAUGCAGUGAAACUGGGCAUAGCAUCAGUGAAUUGUGUGGGGAAUUCUCUUAUUAGCAUGUAUGCUAGGAGUGGAAGAAUGGAAGAUGCCCGAAAAGCUUUUGAUAUUCUCUUUGAGAAGAAUUUGGUUUCUUACAAUGCAAUUGUUGAUGGGUAUGCCAAGAACUUGAAGUCUGAAGAAGCUUUUCUACUCUUUAAUGAGAUCGCAGAUACUGGUAUUGGUAUCAGUGCUUUUACAUUUGCUAGCUUGUUGAGUGGGGCUGCAAGUAAUAGGUGCAAUGGGCAANNNNNNNNNNNNNNNNNNNNNNNNNNNNNNNNNNNNNNNNNNNNNNNNNNNNNNNNNNNNNNNNNNNNNNNNNNNNNNNNNNNNNNNNNNNNNNNNNNNNNNNNNNNNNNNNNNNNNNNNNNNNNNNNNNNNNNNNNNNNNNNNNNNNNNNNNNNNNNNNNNNUGGCACUGGGAAUGAUGAGUGACAUGACGAUCUGAAGAGUUGCUUGGGUACGGUAGAUUCAAUAUGAAGGAAUCUCUUCACAAACUCAGAAGCAAUGCAUGGAUUGAUUUCUUUCAAGCUUAAAGCUCAAAAGGGUUCUCUCAGAUUCUAUGAAAAUUCUCUUCAAAAAGGAGCCUCUCUGGUUGGAUUUAGGCAAACUUGCUUUCAGCCCAGAGCCUAAGACAUUUUUUAUUGUUUUGAUAUCAUAUAAACAGAAUAAAAGUGCUUAUAUAUGAAUGUAAGUGAUCUGUAUAGUUGAUAUCUGCUGCAUCCUUGUAAAAGUAGGAUGUUUGCCUUCAUCUGCAAAACCCUAUUAUGUAUAAUAAAUUGAACCAUUGUGGUUGAUUUGGGAACAUUUGUGAUUGAUUUGUUUUGGAAUUACGUUGAAAUCUAUUUGAGAAUCAAAAUAUUCUUAAUCUGUUUUCUAUAUUUUUAAAUAUGUUUUAAAAUAAUUUUUAUAUAUAAUAUUUUAUUUUUAAUCAUUUUUCAUAUUUAUAUAAUUAUUUUUUAAAAUAGUAUUUCAAAACAACUUAAAAUAACUAAAUAUUUUUAAUAAUAGAAAACUGUUUUCUAUUUCUUGGUUGUCUAUUACUUUCUUUCUUUUUUUUUAUUGAAGUUUUUAAAAAUAGCUAUUAAAAUAGAAUCUAAUUUUUUUUUCUUUUUUUUGUUUUAGAAAAUAAAAAGUAUUUUAAAAAAUAGUUGUCAAAUACGAUCUAUUGUUUCACCAACCAAAAAAUAUAAAACAUAUUUAUGUUCUUAAAAAUUAGAGAAUAUGAUUUUUUUUUAUAAUAUCUUUUAAUUAUUUUCACUUUUUUUUAAAAAACUAUUUUAAAAAAUAAUUAUACAAAUACAAAUAAUGAUUAAAAAUAAAGUAUUAUAUAUAAAACUUCUUUUUAAAAACAUAUAAAAUAAAUUAAAUACAUUUUCGGUUUCAGACAUAACUUUUUUUUUUGUUACAAAAUAUCAAAAUAUUUUUCAAAACUAUUUUUUAAAACACUUCCCAAAUAAAAGCCUUAUUAUUUUGUAACUCUUUCCUAUGAAUAAAGCACUCAUAAUUUUUAGAACACAAAAAAUUAAGAAAGGAUUUUGAUUAUUUUUUUCAAAAUAGCAUAUAUAUUUUCAUACAAUAUUUCUUAAAAACAGUUUUUAAAUCUUCAAAAUUAUAACUAAUGGAAGGGAACAUACAGGAAAUUGUGGGUGACUACAUAUAUAAUUUACUUUUGGUUUAUCCACAAAAACAUUUACUAAAAUUUAAUUACCCUAAGCCUAUACAAAACCUUGAAAUUUAAGGUCAAUGAGACGUAAUCUUCCUUCAAUCUUCUCCCUUAUUCCAAGUGAAAAAGUAAGGAAAAUUCGUGGAAGACUCCAUGUUGUUCUGCUCUUACUUGUGGAGAAUCCUUUUAGCCGUGGACUAAACGUUUUUGUUACCUUAACUACUUAGUCACCAUUUCCAUAAUUUCAAGGAAGGUGAAUGACAAAAUUCUUAUUUGUAUUCUCUUACCAUUUUUAUAAUUUUUUUUAUUAUCUGACCUUACAACGUAAAUCAUAAUUUUUCAUAUGUAGAAAUUACGAAGAAAAAUAGUAAAAUUAUUCUAUAAUUUCUCAUAGGUAAAAACCUUAUAAAAGGAAAUGAAAUAUUUUAUAAUUUCUAAACAUUUUAUGAAAAGAAACUAUGAAGAAAUGAUUAAUUUUAUUUUAUGUUUUAUCUUAUUAAAAGAUAUCCAGAAAGGCUAUGUUUGGUUCAUAUAAAAUUUAAGGAAAAUGUAAGGGAAAGAAAAUAGAAAAAAAAAGUAGAUGAAAAGAAAAAAUGAAGGAAAAUAAAAAAUAGAUUUGAACUUGAUAAAUUAUUUUUAUAAACUUCAGAAAAAUUGGAUUGAUUACCUUCGAAAAAACCUUGAACUACAUCUAGUCUUAUAAAAAGUAAUGGAGAAAUAAUUAAUCCAAAAAUAUCAUAUCUUAAUGCAAUUGACACGUUAAUGUAUUUUGGAAAUUAUAUACAAUUAGAUACAACUCUCUUUAUCAAUUUAUUAAUAAGAUAGACAUUCUCAAAAACAUUGAAAUCGGGUUAUUACUACAACAUUUUCAUGAAACACCAAACAUGAAUUUAUAAUUAAAAACCAUUCACUUGGUUGGAAAAAGCAUCAAGAUAUUGCUUUAGGUAUUGCCAAAGGAAUUGAAUAUCUUCACCAAGGUUGUGAUCAAAGAAUCCUCCAUUUUGAUAUCAAACCUCAUAAUAUUUUACUUGAUCACAAUUUUAAUCCAAAAAUAGCUGAUUUUGGCCUAGCCAAAUUAUGUUCCAAGGAACAAAGUGCAGUUUCUAUGACUACAGCUAGGGGAGCCAUGGGCUAUAUCGCUCCAGAGAUGUUAUCCAGGAAUUUAGGGAAUGUGUCUUACAAGUUAGAUAUUUUUAGUUAUGGAAUGUUAUUACUUGAAAUGGUAGGAGGAAGGAAGAAUAUUGAUGUUACUGUGGAUAAUACUAGCCAAGUUUACUUCUCAGAAUGGAUUUAUAAUCAUCUAGAUCAAGGUGAAGAGCUACAAAUUCGAAUUGAUGAAGAAAGAGAUACUCAAAUAGUAAAAAAAUUGACAAUUAUUGGACUUUGGUGUAUUCUAAAAGAUACCUUCAACAAGAGUUAACAGUUAUCUCAUAAAUUGAAUGAAAGAUGUUAUCAUGUCUUUUUCAAUUUUUAGAAGUGUGUAAUUUAAAUAUGAUGUAGUAAUCCUCCAUCAAUGUAGGCUCACAAUUUUAUUAUUAUCAUGUACCAGUAUUUUUACUACAAUAUUCAUUUUGAGGCUCAACUUACAAUAUGUUUAAAAAGGUCUCUCCCACAUAAUUGAUUUCUUCUUCAUAAUGUUUUCUGUGGUAUAAGCAAAAAUAUAUGAUUAGUCUCAACCUAGUUCAGUUCAGCUCCCCAAAGCUUUGUGGAUCACCUUUGACUAGCAAAAGGGCAGCUUAUUUUACCAAAUUUCAGCAAGAAGUCUAGCAGUCUAUCUUUGGGGGGGAAAAAAUCUGUUUUUAAUAAGAUUUUCCGUUAUAGAUUCAAUAGCAUUUCAUCAUUUAUUGGAUAAUUUUCAAAAUUUCAAAUCUAGUGUAUAUAAAGUGGCUGAGAAACAGUGGAAAAACUCUGGAGAUGAGCAGUGUUGCUUUUAGCUGAAUAGAAAAAGCCAAAUAUUUUCUAUUCAGCCAAAAAACAAACACCACCUUAUUAAGUUGAUAAAACAACGUAUGAAAGAAACUCUUAAGUCUGACCAUUACAUUUAUUCAAUUACAUCUAAUAAAACCAACUGAAAAUCCUUAACUAGUUAAUUUGUUCUAUGAACUCUCGAUAACUUGACAAGUAUUAUUUAAUUAAGAUAUUCAAUCUAUAGUUUAUAUUCUUGAAAAGAAUAAGAUUCUUAUUUUAUUUAAUUUCUAUUUGUUUAGGUAAAAAUAUUGCACAAAAUAUCUCAUAUUGGUAUUUUCUUGUAAAAAAAAUAAAUUAUCUUGAAAAAUAAAGAAAAAAUUACCAAGUUGAGAUCAAUAUAUAAAGUUUAUUUUUCAUAUGUAAAAAUAUAAAACUUCCAAUUUCAAUUGAAGCUAUGUUAAUCUUGCUUUUAAUCUAUAUCCCUAGUCUCUUCUGGUCUCCUAGAGUAUAAUUUAUAUAUUUUAUUUUAAAUUUAUUGUGAUCUUUAUCUAUCCACAUGAAGAAGUUUUGGUAAAUGAAAAUAUAAUAUAAAAAAUGUCAUAAUAUUUUUUCUAAGGAAUAGAGAAAUAAUAAACAACACCAUAUUACUAUGAAGAUAUGAAGAUGUUGCCUUGACUUUUGGAUAAUUUAAUAGAUUUUGCUCCUCUUGUAUUGACAGAUGGGAUAUUCUAGAUGCAAGGUACAAAUCGUUAGUAUGGCUUCUAAAUCUCCGUAAGUAGAUUUACAAAAUAUAUCAUUGAGCUCUUUUAGCCUAGGAUAAUACACCCCCAAGUAUCUCUCAAUAAUUCAUUCUUAGUAUAAAAUUUUUAAAAGUACAUAAAAAUUCAGAAUUUUCAAAUGGUAUGUUGCAAGGAUCAUACUCCUUCAAUAAUUCAUAUGUAGUCCAAUGUUAAUUUCUAUUGACUGAAUUUUAAAAUAAGAACCCAUUGAGUUAAUUUCCUUAGCACUAAAUGGAAGAUUUUCUUUGCCUUUGGAGGACUUCAUUCCUCUCUCCUUAGAAAUGUGCAAUGAGCUUGAUGUGAUAAAGGGAAGGUGUGGACUUCUCAACUGUGGAUUUUUGUGGAAAAGUGUAUUAUGUACAAGAGGAAAAGGCCUAGUCAAAUUUUUUUCUACAUUGCUUGGUAGAUUCCAAUGUUCAUUGAUCUUUCAAACAUCCUGAAAUGUCCAUUAAUUAUGGCAUGACCUGUCUAGAUACAUAUAUUGUCUCACAAUGCUUCAUUUUUCAAAAUUGGUUACCUUUGUAGUAAGUCAAACAAGACAAAAAAAAACUUGACAUGUCCGUCCUCUCAUACAUGAUCUAUUUUUCCUCCACAAUGCUUCAUUUUUCAACAUUGACCACCUUUAUAGUCAAUCAAGUAAAACAUAAAAGAAAAUAAAAAAGAAAAGAAAUCGGUUUGUUCCUUUCCUCUUAUAUAAAACUUUUCCACAAAAAUCCACCAUUAAGUUCACACCUUGAUUCCUCUUUCACAUCUAGCUUAUAGCACAUUUCUAAAGAUAAAAGAAUCAAGUUCUCCAAAUGCAAGGGCAAACCUCCAUUUAAUGUUAACAUUGACACAAAGGGUCCUUACUUGAAAAUUCAUAUUGAUUAAGUCACUAUAAAUUAUAAGCAAAAAAAAAGCUUCUAGCACAUGAACGAUUUAUCACACACAAGGGAUAAAAAAUAUAAAAAGAAAACAAAUGAUUAUAUGAAAAUAUUACCUUAUACCACUUAAUUUCAUACAUAUAUAUAUGAACAAUCAUAAAAAAUCUAAUUCUAAUAGAAACUCAACUUCUAAUAGAACUAGGAUUACAAAUCCUAAACAACAAAAACAACUCAAAUAUUAAUAAAAUAAAUCUUGAUUUCAUUAGGACUCUUAUGUUGCUUUCACUUUGAUUGAUUUUGUAAAGACAUCUGCAAUUUAAUUUUGAAAAGAACAAACCUCAAACAUAAUUUGUCUUUCAUCAAUUCAUGAAUUAGUACAUGAUGUAAUGUCAAUGUGUUUACUUCUUUCAUAAAAAACUGGAUUUUUUGGUCAAUGUUAUUAAUGUUGAUUUAUCAUCCCACGAAAUCUUUAUAGAUACUUCUUGAGUAUACUUUAAAUCAAAAAGCAUUGAAUGCAACUAUACUACUUAAUUAGCACCAUUAGUAGCUACAAUAUAUUUCGUUUUUGCUAUUGACAAAAUAUUAAUCAUCUAUUGUUUCCUUGAUGAUCAAGAGAAAACUUCUAAACUAAGAUUAAAUACAUAACCUUUAAUGUAUCAUAAGAUCUAUUUUCCUAAUUGUAAGUGCGACUAACAUUGAGAAUCCCUAGAUCUACUUAUAAGCCCAACUUCAUAUUUAAUAUCUAGUUUUAUAUUAGUCAAACAAUGUAAACUGCCAACCAUUCUUUGAAAAUUUGUAGGAUCUAUAAAGUCAUCUAAGUUAUUCACUUGCAUAGACUUUUUGAAAAUCACUUGCAUACAUUCUUUGAAAAUUUGUAGGAUCAAUAAACUCCCUAAGUUAUAUUUCACUUCCUUUUUACUUAAUUUUUAAUGACUAGAUGUGACUUUUAAAAUAAGGAACCACUGAGUUAAUUUUCUUGACAACAAUUGAUUAUUUUGCAAUUACAAAAAUGCAAUGAAGUAGUUAGAUGUGAUAGAGCAUGACACCAUGAAUUUCUCAACUAUGAAUUAUGCAGAAAAGUUGACAAGGUACGUAUUUUUGGAAGAGCACAACUUAAUUGUUCUGGUUCUAUCUUGCCUGACUGACUACAAAGGUCACAAAGUUGAAAAGUCAGCAUUAUAGAAAAUUAAAAUUUUAUAAAUAAUCAUUUAGAAAGUUUAUCCACUUUUAUGGGGCCUUUCUUUAAGGUAAAGCUACAUGCUUUAGAGGCAAAGGAUGCAAGCAAAUUAUCUGAGGAAGUGGAGAAAUCCUGUAUGGAAGAACUAGAUAAUGUAAGUGGAGAAAUCCCGUUCUAUUAGUUGACUGCAAAGACGCCAACAUUGUGGGGCGGUUGAUGUGUCCAGUCAAUGUUUUUUAGCACUUUCUCCCAGUGGGUAAGAGGUGAUACUAUACCUAAACCAUUUUUUGGACCCAAACCGAACAUUUAUAACGAAAAGCAGAACUGAUUGUUCUUAAUCUAUAGUCUAAUAAAAGAGCGAGACGGAGAGGAAAGAGACCAUCUCCAGCUAUGUUGAGGAGGCUCUUAUUUGCCGGUUUUGCAGCCAUUUUUCUACUUCUGUUACUCCCAACAACUUGCAAAGCCAAGCUGAAUCAUCAUCUCUGUCACUCUUCUUGUGGGAAUAUUCCGGAUAUAAGCUACCCUUUCCGACUGAAAGAUGACCGACCCAGGUGUGGAGACAGGAAGUAUGAACUGGCUUGUGAGAAUAAUCGCACAAUCUUACACUUGUGGGAAAAUUUUUUGGCUAUCAUUUCUUUGAUUAAAUGAUUUGUAACUUGAAAACCAAAAAGGAACAAAGAAAAAAAAAAUGCAAAAAAGAGAAUGAUCUACCAAAAGAAAAAAAGAUGAACCCCAAAUAGUUAGCAUAGAUACAUUGAAGCCUCUUCCACCAAAUCAAUUAGGUGAAAUAUGGGUUCGAGGACCAAACAUGAUGCAGGGCAAAGUUUGAUCAAAAGUUUGUGUUAGUUCCUCUUCGCAACGAUUUCUAACAACAAGUGACCUUAUUUGAAUCUCCCAAUUAAUUAGGAUCCAUUCAAAUUGAACCAUCUUAAUUCAUUUAGAAAGGAAACAUGGUGGUUAAGACAUCAAUUUUGGUUAAAAUCAAAUUAUUAAUGUUUUAAUUUUGCCUUGUAUUGACUUGUGAAGCCAAACAAUGUAUUCCAAAUCAGACUGCUUAAUCUCACAAGUGGCUUGCCUUUUGCUGUGGGACCUCCUAAGCUAACCCUCAUCUUGCUAACAUCUGAUUUGCCAAAUUAGGCGGAUUAGACCUGUCAGACAUGUUAUAACAUAUAACUGAACACCUAAGAUUCAAAGUUUGAUUCUUUCAAUUGGUCUUUCAAUUAGACCUCUAUGACAUAUGUGAAAUAUAAAAUUGCUUUUGAAUUUUGUAUCUCUUUAUACCAUUGAGUUUCAAAUAUUCUACAUUAAGGAAAAGAGGUGCUCAAUAAAAGAGAAUGAAAGAAUGGUAAGAUUAUCAUUCUCAGAUAUUUAUAAGCCAAUCUUGGCUAUUAUACCUUGAUUUGUAGCUAACUCUCUCAGGAUGUGAAUUGCCUGAGAUAUGGUGGCCUCAAAUGAAAAAAGAAAGGAAAGGGAAAAACCAACCAGAAAGAAAAGGAAUUUGAUAAUUAGUAAAUUGUCGGGAAGAAAAAGCAAAUGCCUUCAACCUAGUAGAUCAAAUUAGUAAAAUGUCUCUCCUGUAAGCAUCAAAAUUUCCACUCAAAGAAAAAAUAUCAAGCUUAUGUCAAUCAGCUGAAUUAAAAAUGAAAAAAUGAGCCUAAAAAAUCAAUUCCUAAUUUUGAGAAGUUAGAAAAUCACAAAAUUGCAUUUGCCCCAUACAUGAGAUAACAGGAUUUGUAUAGAAGUAAAAGAAUGGUUGGUGAAAAACAAAUGUUGAAGUCCAUUUAAGAUUACCACUUGAAUCCUAAGAAAUGAAAAUUGAGGGAGGUAAAUUAGGAAGCCUUUUCCCUCCUUCAAAAUUGCAUAAACCCCAAAACCUAUCAAAAUUUUCUCCUGAAUAGCAAUUAUACAUGAGAUAAAUAUAGUUAAAUGACAUGAAUUUCAACAUCUGAAUUUUUAGAUUUUUGACAAAAUGCUUCUAGUCCAUACCCAUUAAUUUCGAUAAACUUAAUAUUCAUUUUCCCCCUUCUUCUUAGUGUUUACAUGAAGAACAAAAAUAGUCUAAGGGGGUUACUUUGAUGGAUUCAAAAUAAAAAAUAAAUAAAUAGAUAAAUAAAAUGAAAAAAAAAAAAAGGAAACAAGAUCAAGAUGAGUCAAAAGUGUAGCAUCCUAAUUAGGGUGCAAAAUGAAGAGCUUUGCUCUAUCCGAAGCUUCCAUAGUCUUUGAUUUUAUUAGGUACAGACAAGGCACUAUAAUAAUAGUAGACUGCAUUGAAUUUCUUCAUGUCACUAAAAUUUUCAACUUCAUCUUAUGCACGGAAGACAAAAAAAAACACAAAAGAGAAGGAACACGAGCAAUCAUUGCUUCCAAGCUAAGCUUUGAUGCACAUGAAAAUGGAAAGAAGAAUAAGAGUGCAGAGAUGAGGUAUGUGAAAGUAUGGUGAGGGAUUGAUGCUCAUAAUAAUUAGUAAAUAUAUACCAGGGAAUCCAAACACAAACCCUAACCUUAACCCUAACCAGAAAAAGAGAGGUGGGAGGAAAUAGAAGUGAUGAAAAGAAACCUAAUUUGAAAUCAAAGAAAGAAAGAAAGGAAUAACAGAGUGUGAAGCCGUGGAAGGAAUCGAAAGAAUACCUGGAAGAUGUGGGCGAUGAAGUGGCUAAAGAAAUUGGUCGUUGAGCGAGUUGGUCAUUGAUCUAAGCCCCCUCAGUGAUGAGGAUGUCAGUGACGACAACAAUCUAGUCGGAGAAACAUACAGUGAUGAGGAUGGGAGAAGAGUUCGAUGGUCUGUAAUGGUGGCUAAGAAGAGUGAAUGAUAAAAGACAUGGCUCUCAAUGGGUUCAGCAGUCUAAAGUGAGCAGGAGAGAUAGUGCUUAUAUCGUGGCUCUAUGGUCGCG
rnacentral:lncRNA from 1 species